UGGUGGCUCCCCUGAUCUGGAAUGAGUUGGAUUCAUCCUCUAACCUCAGCAGUAGAUUAUGUAGUUACUUUAGUUGUUGGAAAUCCCAUCAGCAACAUCAUUUGAUUUUAUAACCCUCUUUUUUUGGGUUUAUGAAUCUGCAACCUUAGUUAAAUGAGCUCUAAUUAAAUUGAGCUCAUGUAUGAAUGUCUGAUGCAAAUAGCUCAAUGGAUGGUGCAUGAUCACAUCACCUUAUUAUCCAAUAUCUAUGUUUUGCUCAACUAGAGGGCAUGGCAGUUGUUGUUUUGCUUGGUGCAAGUUGUUCCUAGGAUUCAUCUUCUGGUACAUUGUCAUUGAAGAAAUUGUCUUGGCUUGUUUUAGUGUUCUGCAGCUUUUGGUCGUUGACUGCAUAACAACAUCUGUAUUUGCCCCCCCCCCCCCUCUUCUCUCUCUCUCUCUCUGUGAAAACGCAUGCACUUCUUUGAGCGUUAGGGAUGUGGAUCCGCUUUCCUGCACCAUACUCCCAUGUGUGUCUCAACAUAUGUCGGCUUUUGAUGCUUACUUCAUUCACAUGUGUCAACGGUUGAGAAGCGUUUUAAGGGUUACAGCAUGAACGGGAGCCCUAUGGUUGUUGAGUAUCUUCAUCCAAAAUAUGCUAUCUUCUAGGUGGCCUGCAAUUUGACUACCCUUUCUGUGUGAUGGUACAUUGUCAAUCUAAAUGCAGAAGUUCGAUACCGGAAUCAUACUGCAUAAUGAAGUAGAUAUUUUCAAGCAAAAAGCAACAAGUACAUAAGCAGAAUUCUAUGAUCUUUUCCAAAGUGGAUACUGGGAACACAUCAGGCCUAAGAUGUGCACUGUACUGCCUACAGCUAGAUAAAUAAUGGGCAUAUUUUGCUCCAAGUGAUCUCAAUUUUCCACCCAAGUAGCUGUAGUUGCUGCACGUCACGAAAAGAUCCAAGCUCAAAGCAAACUCAUUUGAUUUGACUAUAACUGAUUUUUGUCAUUUGUGUUUUCAAAGAGGUUGGCUAUUUGGGUGGAGCCUGUUUCUUGUUAUUGCGGUAGCAGUUCAGAGCUCACGAGGUGUGAUAUUGCUUGCGGAGUUUGGUUAGAGUGACAAGAUCAAUAGGCUGGAAAUAAAGGUGCUGAAGAUUCACCAUAGGCCUCGUCUUCUUUUUCGCUUGUUUUAAUGUAUAUUCACUGCUCCAAACGAGCUUGACUUGAAGCAUGUAAAAUUAGGGAUAUUUGCGGAGAACUUUGUCUAGGCAUGCAUGCAUUUUUCUUAUUGGAAGCUUUAUGAGCCAUUGAAUCUCAUUAUCAUGAACAAGGUUGCAGUUCCAUUCCGAUUUUGAUUACUUCAAACGCAUGGUCCAUGCGUCAUUGAUUCUCAAUGAAUGCCGUGUGUUAGAAUUCUCCAAAGUUGUAUCUAACGUCAAAUACCUAACAUGAUAUUUUGUUCUAAGACACUAACGAUAAAAGACAGCUCGUUCUGAGUAUCUAGAUAUGUUCUGAGUAUCUAGAUAUUUUCUCGUGACGGGUACGGUUCUUUUUCAUUCUUUCACUCAUUUCGACAUAACAUAUGGUGCUUUGGUUUGGGAAAGCAAAUGUAACUCAGUAAUAGGAAGAUUAAUCUGUGAUUAGUCAUAAGAGGGGAUCAUGAUUGUUCCUGGAUAUGAUAGAAACUCCCGGAGUGGUCAUUUAGUUAAUUUCAUUGUGGAAACCAAAUAGAAGAAGAAUUAAGUAUGCAGGGGAUGAGUGGAAGAAGAAUUAACCAAUUCAAUUAGGAGUGAUCUUAGUUAUAUGGUGUUUCCUUGACUAGUUCUUACUCAUAGAGUUAGUCUACACAAAAAGCAGUUUGAUUUGGCUUUAGGCUAUUAUUCUAGUUGCAAUUUGAUUUGGCAAAUAAAAUGCAUACAUUGCAAUCAAUCCUACAGAAUUUAUCAUGACAUAUCCUCCUGGAUCAAUGCCUCUGCCUGCCAAUUUGCAUUGCCGUUCUCCUAAAAAUCAUGAAAGGCCUGCAAUAGGAAGUUCCAUCCAAAAUUGCAUAGGUCCUUUAAUUCAUCCUGAAAUUGCAUUCCUCUUGAAAUGGAAAUCCUAGAUUCAAUGUUAAGACAAAGUUCCAUCCAAAAUUGGAUAGUGAUAUUCCAAAUGAAUCACAUUAGGCUAGUGAUACUUGCUGAACAAUUUGUAAAAAUCACAUUGAUUAAGAGUGAAAAUCACUAGAUUUCAAUUUGUAGUGAUCGAGAAAUCAAUCUCUAACUCUUAGCCUCUAUUCUGGCCUUCUUAAUAAAAGUAUGGCUAGUAUGAAUGUCGAGAUUUGAUUUUAUCAUUUUAUUUCUCUUUCGGGCUAAUUUAGAUAAUCGCUUGAUGAUCAUGCAUUAAAAAAUGAUGUCGCGAGUCCGAUUUCAAUGGGAUCCUGUUCCUGACCUUGUUUUCCAGGUGGGUCGGUCCGGUUCCUAAAUAUACCCGAUCCGGUUGCACACUCCUAGUUAAUAUUUUCUAAUUUAACUAAAUGGAAAGUACGGAAGUGUUGUAUACAUGUGGUUUUUGCAUUGCACCAAAAUAGAAUCAUUAGAUUAGGAAUUGCAUGAGAUUGGUCAAUGUGAUAUUUAUGGACGCCAGCAAUCUAAAGCCUAUGAUCCCUGUGCCUCGUUUUAUCAUGACAUUAACAUUAGCUACCACUCUUAGAAAGACAGAAAAAAAAAAAAAGACAGUUACAGCGUAUGGGCGGUGCAAGAGGCCUGAAACAUCACGGGAUUAGAAGGGCGAAGUCAGUCCACGAAGACUUGGACUGACAAUAGUCCAUGAUGAGCCAGCAUUGCUCCAAGAAGGAAUCAAACCAAAGAUUGACCCAAGUAUAAGGCACACGCUAAAGCAUUGACGGGUCUUCUUUUCCACGCUAGGAUCCGUCUUCUUUUUCUUUGCUAUAUUGCUUUUCUUUUCAUUAUCAAUUUGCUUUUUUGAUAAGAUUUUCCUUGGAUCCUCAGGGACGUUUGAGGUCUCUAGUCAGUUAAUUAUUUUGAUAGUUGAUUGAUUGGUGGCCACCGCUUGAUCAAGGAUUUUUUUUUUUUUUUUUUUUGGCCUAGCAGCACUUGAGAAGUAGGGCCUCUGAACUUUUUUCCAUGUCUGAAUUGUCUCCCAAAGAAAAGAUCAAGUGAUAUCAACGAAGGGGAGGCAAUGCUUGUUUUAUUCAUCAUUGUUCUAGCUUGUGAAAAGCUUAUGAUAUCGUACAUAUCAACGUUUUAUGAGUGACUUUUAUUGGUUAAAAAACGGUCGAUAAUGCAACUUACCUUAGUUAUUGUUGAGUUAGUAUUGUGAAUCUUCAGUUGUGAAGUAGCUAUUUUUUAUCAUAAAACAUAAAAAUUUUAGUUAUCAAGCGAAAUGUGGUAUACAUAUAGUUUUGCCUUGCAUUGAAAUCAAAUCAUUACAUUAAAAAUCGCAUUAUCUACCACUCUCCAAAGAAAAUAAAUAAAUAAAAGAAUAGCGUACCGGUAAGGGCAAAGUCAAAGUCUACGAAGACUUGGACUACCAACAGUCCAUGAUGAACCAGCUUUGCUCAGGAAGGAAUCACAUCAAUGAUUCAUUCAUUUGGUACUUUGUCCCUCACAUACGGGCAUUCAUGAACGUGGAGAUUCUAUCAAAAAGAAGGGAAAAAAAUGUCACUAGAUCACUUUGUCAAAUCCAACACCGACUCAUUGUUCUCCCAUUCACCCGCAAAAUUUACAUGGCAAUAAAUCGAUUUCCAAUUCUCAUAUUCAUUGAUAAUUUCAUUACACGAUUUCCUCCGAUUCUAUAAUUUCAUAUGAGAUUUGAAAAUCAAAUAAGAACAACCUCUAAGGAUGUCUUUAUGUCACUGAGAUUUUUUUUUUUUUUUGUGUGACCGGAAAAUGCUUUUAGCAAAUUCAAUUUCAGAGAAAGGGAAUCGGAAAAUUUUGAUUAUGGUGAAAACAAGUUGAAAAAGACUGAUUUUAUUGUAAUUGGUAAUAAGUGAAUCCACUAAAUGUAACUUGUAUCAUUAAAAGUAACAUGGAAUGACUAAUAAACUAGAAUUGAUAUCUUCUUCAUUUAUUCUAUAAUCCAUCAAAAUAACAUUGAUUACAAAGAAAAUAAGAUUGAAAUUAUGAAAUCAUAUUUGUAAAAUAUUAGAUAUAAUCGUGCUUUGGGAAUGUAGAAAAAUUGAGCAUCAAUAAAGUAUAGUCUUCUCACUUCAAAGCUUAGCAAGAAAACAAGGGUAAUGAUUCCUUCUUGCCAAGUCAUUUUUCUCUAGGCUUAUUGUUUUUAGGAUUAAUACCGCGAAGAAUCUCAAACUAGUAUAUCCGUGAUAAAUUUAUUCAAAAUUAAUUUUUUGAUCACCAAAAACUCAAAACUGGCAAAUUUGUGAUAAAUUUAUUCUCCAUUAAUUUCCGUUAAAUUGAAUAAAUAAUAAGAACAAACACAAACCGGUACACAUGUGAUAAAUAAAAAAUAAAACCCCAAACUAAUAGAGUGGUCAAUUGUAAAAAUUUGAUGUGGCUGUAUGUUUUGAGGCCUCUCUGCCCUCAACUUGAUCUAUGCUUCUAACUGAGAAAUGCUACUUGCACAAGCACACGCAAUAUGGCCUUGCCCAACAUCCAACCCACCCCACCCCACCCCCUCCCCCUUUUUCUUUUCUCUCACUCCACCUUUUAUAUAGGUUGUAGAUGUAAACUGUGGAAGCUUCAUGUGAUUGUAAGUUUCUGUUUUCAUUCUUGCAUACAGUGAAAUCACUUCUGAAGGACGAAGGAUAACAAAGCUCGAUCAGAUUUUGCUUAACGGAAACAACAUAGCUAUCGUAAGAAACAACUUCUUCCUUCUGCUGAUAUUGAUGUGGCUAUAUGUUUUGAGCCCUUGCAUCGAUAAGGAUGUGGUCUUGCCUAAAGUUUUGGUGAUCUACUAACUAGUAAGCAAUCGCCUUAACAUAACAGAAACAAUCAGCCACUCAGAGAGAUUCCUUCCAAUAUGUAGACUGAAAAUGCUUUGACGAUAUACUGAUGAAUUUUUAUUGGUCUUGAUUUUGUGGUAAAAGAGUCAUCAUUCCCUAUUCUUUACAAGAAUCUGGUCUUUUGUCUCAAUCAACCUUGUGUCCACCUCUUGAUAAAUAUAAAGCGUCAGUUGUGUGGCAGUUAUGUUAUUGAAAAGCUAGAAUUCUGCUUUGAAGUGCUUGAACCACUCAAGUGAUGAUGCCUUCCUUUUUUUCUUAAUGCAGUUAGUCCCUGGUGGCUCCCCUGAUCUGGAAUGAGUUGGAUUCAUCCUCUAACCUCAGCAGUAGAUUAUGUAGUUACUUUAGUUGUUGGAAAUCCCAUCAGCAACAUCAUUUGAUUUUAUAACCCUCUUUUUUUGGGUUUAUGAAUCUGCAACCUUAGUUAAAUGAGCUCUAAUUAAAUUGAGCUCAUGUAUGAAUGUCUGAUGCAAAUAGCUCAACGGAUGGUGCAUGAUCACAUCACCUUAUUAUCCAAUAUCUAUGUUUUGCUCAACUAGAGGGCAUGUCAGUUGUUGUUUUGCUUGGUGCAAGUUGUUCCUAGGAUUCAUCUUCAGGUACAUUGUCAUUGAAGAACCUGUCUUGGCUUGUUUUAGUGUUCUGCAGCUUUUGGUCGUUGACUGCAUAACGACGUCUGUAUUCCUCCCCCCCCUCGCCCCUCUCUCUCUCUCUCUCUGUCUGUGAAAACACAUCCCUCUCUCUCUCUCUCUCUCUGUGUGAAAACACAUGCACUUUGAGCGUUAGGGAUGUGGAUCCUCUUUCCUGCACCAUACUCACAUGUGUGUCUCAACAUAUGUCAGCUUUUGAUGCUUACCUCAUCCGCACGCGUCAACAGUUGGGAAGCGUUUUAAGGGUUAUACAGCACGAACGGGAGCCCUAUGGUUGUUGAGUAUCUUCAUCCAAAAUAUGCUAUCUUCUAGGUGGCCUGCUAUUUGGCUACCCUUUCUGUGUGAUGGUACAUUGUCAAUCUAAAUGCAGAAGUGUGUUCCCAGUAUCCACUUUGGAAAAGAUCAUAGAAUUCCGCUUAUGUACUUGUUGCUUUUUGCUUGAAAAGAUUAUACUUCAUUAUGCAGUAUGAUUCUGGUAUCGUCACAUCAGGCCUAAGAUGUGCACUGUACUGCCUACAGCUAGAUAAAUAAUGGGCGUAUUUUGCUCCAAGUGAUCUCAAUUUUCCACCCAAGUAGCUGUAUUUGCUGCACGUCACGAAAAGAUCCAAGCUCAAAGCAAAUUCAUUUGAUUUGACUAUAACUGGUUUUUGUCGUUUGUGUUUUCAAAGAGGUUGGCUAUUUGGGUGGAGCCUGUUUCUUGUUAUUGCGGUAGCAGUUCAGAGCUCACGAGGUGUGAUAUUGCUUGCGGAGUUUGGUUAAGAGUGACAAGAUCUAAAUAGGCUGGAAAUAAAGGAGCUGAAGAUUCACCAUAGGCCUCGUCUUCUCUUUCGCUUGUUUUAAUGUAUAUUCACUGCUCCAAACGAGCUUGACUUGAAGCAUGUAAAAUUAGGGAUAUUUGCGGAGAACUUUGUCUAGGCAUAGAUGCAUUUUUCUUAUUGGAAGCUUUAUGGGCCAUUGAAUCUCAUUAUCAUGAACAAGGUUGCAGUUCCAUUCCGAUUUUGAUUAGUUCAAACGCAUGGUCCAUGCUUCAUUGAUUCUCAAUGAAUGCCAUGUGUCAGAAUUCUCCAAAGUUGGAUCUAACGUCAAAUGCCUACCAUGAUAUUUUGUUCUAAGACACUAACGAUAAAAGAUAGCUUGUUCUGAGUAUCUAGAUAUUUUCCUGUGACUGGUACGGUUAUUUUUCAUUCUUUCACCCAUUUCGACAUAACAUAUGGUGCUUUGGUUUGGGAAAGCAGUUGUAACUCAGUAAUAGGAAGAUUAAUGUGUAAUUCGUCAUAAGAGGGGAUCGUGAUUGUCCCUAGAUAUGAUAGAACUCUCGAAGGGGUCAUUUAAUUAAUUUCAUUUCAUUGUGGAAACCAAAUGGAAGAAGAAUUGAGUAUGCAGGAUGAGUGGAAGAAGAAUUGACCAAUUCAAUUAGGAGUGAUUUCAGGUUAUAUGGUAUUUCCUUGACUAGUUCUUACUCACAGAGUUAGUCUACACAAAAAGCAGUUUGAUUUGACUUCAGGCUAUUAUUCCAGUUUGAUUCGGCAAAUAAAAUGCAUACAUUGCAAUCAAUCCUACAUAAUUUAUCAUGACAAAUCCUCCUGGAUCAAUGCCUCUACCUGCCAAUUUGCAUUGCCAUUCUCCUAAAAAUCAUGAAAGGCCUGCAGUAGGAAGUUCCAUCCAAAAUUGCAUCGGUCCUUUAAUUCAUCCUGAAAUUGCAUUCCUCUGGAAAUGGAAAUCCUAGAUUCAAUGUUAAGACAAAGUUCCAUCCAAAAUUGGAUAGCAAUAUUGCAAAUGAAUCACAUUAGGCUAGUGAUACUUGCUGAACAAUGUGUAAAAAUCGCAUUGAUUAAGAGUGAAAAUCACUAGAUUUCAAUCUGGAGUAGUGAUCGAGAAAUCAAACUCUAACUCUUAGCCUCUAUUUUGGCCUUCUUAACAAAAGUAUGGCUAGUAUGAAUGUCGAGACUUGAUUUUAUCAUUUUAUUUCUCUUUUGGGAAAAUUCAGAGAAUCGAUUCAUGAUCAUGCAUUCAAAGUGGUGUUGCGACUUCGGUUUUAACAGGAACCUGUUCCCAACCUUGUUUCUAAUGUACCAAUGUGGAGGAAAUUAAAACAAAUAGGCAAUCUUCUCCAUGGGAGGUUUGGAAACUCGGCACAUUAUGGAGUUGGUUGAACAAACUUGGCAAAUUUCUGCGAAAGAAAAGAGAAUGGACACCUGCCUUGUCGAGUACUUUUUUUAUCUGAUAAGAAGUGCUUCCCAUUCUGUUUAUAUAAAUCUUUUUUUUUUUCUGCAAAUACCCUUGUUCAGAUCUUCUUUGUUUUGGUUUGGUUUGGUUCAUAUGGUUCAAUGGCUUGAUUUGCUAAAGGUGAGGUCAAAUUAUAUAAAUUUCAAGUGCAUUAUUUUGUCAAUAUAUUAUGUGGUGAUUUAUCUGAGAUACCUUAUAAUUUGCUACUUUGUCUUACUGUAUUUGAAAUUGGUCAAUGCCCUAGUGUGCUUCUUUCAUGACAUUCCUUGGUCCCGGGUGUCUUCCUGUGGUUUUCUAGUGUUACAAGAAGUCGUGUCCAUCUUGGACAUCUACAAUGUCCUCCCACGCUUUUUUAUUUUAUUAAAUAGGACAAACUGAAGGAAAAGACUGACCCAUUCAAUGACUUUCGCAAUCACCCUCACUGAACCAACUUGAAUAUGAACUACGAUUAUUUGGAUUUCCUUUGCAUGCCAUGUGCACUUAGACUUGACUUUUUCCCCUUUUUUCUUCCCUGUCCAAUAUUUGUUCGUUUCUGUGUAAAAUUUUUCGCUUUCUUCAUGCAGGAGAAUGUCAACUUCAUUAUACCGUAUACGUCAAAGUAGCCAUUACAAUGUGUGUGAAAGUAUCUCAGCACUUAUGGCAUCACCUCUACAACAACAACCGACACAAAAUUGCGACAUGAAGAAGAUGGAUACCCUACAUCGGUAAACGCAUUUCCAAUUUGUUUUUUGGGUAAAGCAUGGCUCUUAAGUUGGAUUCAUAGAAUUUGAAGAGGAGGCGUUCCAAUUCUUAAUUAUACUAAAAAAUGUUUCCAGCUGCAAAUGGACUUGGUCUAACAUUAUCUAACUUGAAGGUAAAUCUGAAAUAAUGACCCAAAUUGUUUAAUUUUUUUUUUUUGGUCAAGACCCAAAUUGUUUAAUUUCAAAUUAAUAGAAGUGUGGCAAAUAUUUUUCCAAUUCUCAAAAUUUAACGUUGAAUAGUCUCACGUCCGCAAGUUCUUAUAUUUGCACCUAUUUUUUGACCUUUUGUAAUAGAUAACCCACAAGAAUUAAUUGAGAGAGUGAAGAGACAAACCUUCGAAAACAUUAUUUGAAAUAGAGAACUUAGUCAACAUUUUUUUAAUCAUUAUAGUCAUUGGAGAGGUUUCACUAAACUUUUGCCAAUCAUCAUAGAGGCUUCGAGUACAAUUGUGAAUGUGGAAAUGCUAAUUGAGUUAAAUUCCAAAUGAGAUGUAAUAGGUCACAUCAUGUUUGUGAGCUUAUUUACCACACUUGUUAGUGGCUCAAAGUUUUAAUACGAUUACACAUUGGUUUUGUGUACCUUGUUUUAGUAAUGUUUUGUAUAAUAAUCAGCACGAUGCAUGGAUUUAAUGCCCGAUUGCAAUGCCUUGUGCGAAGCAAUGUAUUGAUCACUAGGGAGUGCUUUGACGAAGAUCAAGCCCGACAAUUCCACCAGGCUUUGUUUUUCAGAGUUAAUUCGGGCCUGGGCCCAAUCAGCCCAUUAAACUGGACGGACCGGAGUUCACCUUAAUUAGGAUGGGGAAACGAACUUGUUUUGGAAGUUCCAUGUCUGCUUUUGUUGACUUUACUUUGAAUGAAUUAUUUAGGGGCAAAAGUAGAUUCUCAUCCGAAAAUUUCUACACCACAUAGUCCAGUGAUUUUCCACGCUAAGAAGCAUAGUAUUUGUCACCUUUGACAGGCUGCAAUGAUGCUGCAAGGAAGCAUCCUUAUUGACCGAUUUUGCAGCAAAACUGGCCCACGAUUGUCUGCAUAUUAUGGGGUAAAGGAACAAAGGUCUCAAUAAUUAAGGCCCACAUAUAUACAAGAAGUGUUUAUUUUCCUUUAAAAAAAGUAAGAGUUAGGCAGUGGGAUCCCACGUAUUUUCUCCUCUUCAUGAGCUUUUAAGCCAAAGGAGCAAGCUGAAUUUGGAUUCAAAUGGAUGUAGUCUGAUUUCAAAAAAAAUUGUGACAAAAGUUUCGUUUUACUAAAACAAAAGUUUGGUGGAGUGAUAACGAAAGCUAAAGCUAUCGGAGAACAACUUCGAUCUUCCAUCAAUCUCAAUUCAAGAAAUUUGAUACUUCCCAAUAGUCUUCUUUUUAAUUCAUCGAGUAAUCGUGAUUUAAUAACUUCAAUCUUAAUAUUUUUUUUCAUGCUAGGAUUUUUACAUGAAAAGACUUCAGAACUUAUGAAUUAUGAAAUGGAAGAAUUUUACACUUCUAAAUCUAGCAAGAUUUUUUUUUUUCUAUCGCGAAACAUGGAAUGUUUAGUUACCACAAAAUCUAUUCAAAAAACAGAAAAAUACUUGCAAAGAAACACCAUCUGUCCAGAAAAGCUUUUUUCUUAAAUAAUUUAGUCAAUCAUGUCAUCAAUUAAUAAAAAAGUUGGAACGAUCUAAUUUAAUUAAAUGGAAAUGGAAUAUGUCGUAUACAUAUAAUUUUGCAUUGCAUCAAAAUACAUUCACUAGAUUAAGAAUUGGGUGAGAUCUAUCGAUGUGAAUUUGAUAAGGAUGCCAACAAACUAAAACCUAAGCUUCAUGUGCCUUGUCUUAACGUGGCAUUAGCAUUAGCUCCCACUCUCGGAAAAAGAGAAAAAAAAUCAGACAGAACAGCAUACGGGCAAUGCAAGAAGACUGAAACCAAUGAUUGAACCAAGUCAAAGUCUACGAAGACUUGGACUACCAACAGUCCAUGAUGAACCGGCUUGCUCAAGAAGGAAUCACACCAAUGGUUGACCCAAGUCAAAGUCUACGAAGACUUGGAUUACCAAAGGCACGCGCUCAAGCAUUGGCGAGACUUCUUUUCCACAUCAGGAUGACCCCAUCUUCUUUUUCUUUGCUGUACUGCUUUAUUUCUUUUCACUAUUCACUUUGCUUUUCAACAAGAGUUUCCCUUGGAUUCGUCAAGGCAAUUUCGCCGUGAAUAACUAUUGAGGUCCCAAUGGGUUAAUUGCAACGAGAAUUUUGUAAAAUAACAUGCAUUCAACAUUUUACAAAACAGAUGACAUUUUAAUUACAACUGCUAACAAUAUGUGGAUUUUUUUUUUUUUAAUGUUGUUAAAAAUAUGUGCACUUUUACUCAAUAAGCACGAACUCUUCAUCAUUGAAGUUUAACCAAUAAAUCUAGGUUAUUUACAAGUAAUUUAAAUAAGUAUACUAAAAUUGACACAUUAAGUGAUAUGAUCAAAUCAUGAUUUAAUAUUUAGCAAGUGAAUAAAUAGAUUUGUGAAAAUAGAUUCUACUCAAAUGGGAAUUCGAUACUUCCCAAGAGUGUUUUUUUUUUUUUUACUCAUCAAGUCAAUUUGAUUAAUAACUUCAAUCUUAAGUGUUGUUUUUGAUCACACUCGGAUUUCGGCCUGAAAAGAGUUAAGAAACUUAUGAAUUUUGGAAUGGAACAUUUUUAUACCUUCAGAUCUAGUGGGAAAACAUGGAAUGUAUAAUAACCACAAAAUUGAUUUAGAAAAAAAAAAAUUGCAAAAAAAACACUAUUUGUUUAGAAAUAUUUUGAUUUUUAAAUAGUCUAACCAAUUGUAUCAUCAAUUAAUAAAAAAGUUAAUACCGUCUAAUUUAACUAAAUGGAAAGUAUGAAAGUGUUGUAUACAUGUGGUUUUUGCAUUUGCACCGAAAUACAAUCAUUAGAUUAGGAAUUGCAUGAGAUUGGUCAAUGUGAUAUUGAUACGGACGCCAACAAUCUAAAACCUAAGCUCCCUGUUAACAUGGUAUUAACAUUAGCUACCACUCUCAGAAAGACAAAAAAAAAAAAAAAAAAGACAGGACAGCGUACCCGGGGGGGGGGGGGGGGUGUGGACUGAAACAUCACGGGAUUAGAAGGGAAAAGUCAGUCUACGAAGACUUGGACUGACAACAGUCCAUGAUGAGCUAGCAUUGCUCCAAGAGGGAAUCAAACCAAAGAUUGACCCAAUUAUACGAAGACUUGGACUACCAAAGGCACACGCUAAAGCAUUGGCGGGUCUUCUUUUCCACGCUAGGAUCCGUCUUCCUUUUUUUUUUUUUUGCUAUAUUGCUUUAUUUCUUUUCAUUAUCAAUUUGCUUUUAUGAUAAGAUUUUCCUUGGAUCCUCAGGGACGUUUGAGGUCUCUAGUUAGUUAAUUAUUUUGAUAGUUGAUUGACUGGCGGCCACCGCUUGAUCAAGGAUUUUUUUCUUCUUUUUGGCCUAGCAGCACUUGAUAAGUAGGGCCUCUGAACAUUUUUCCAUGUCUGAAUCGUCUCCCAAAGAAAAGAUCAAGUGAGAUCAACGAAGGGGAGGCAAUGCUUGUUUUAUUCAUCAUUGGAUUGAUCAUAAUCCAGAUUGUGAAAAGCUUAUGAUAUCGUACAUAUCAACGCUUUAUGAGUGACUUUUAUUGGCUAAAAGACGGUCGAUAAUGCAACUUACCUUGGUUAUUGUUGAGUUAGUAUUGUGAAACUUCAGUUGUGAAGUAGCUAUUUUUUUUAUCACGAAACAUAAAAUUUUUAGUUAUCAGGCGAAAUGUGUAUACAUAUAGUUUUGCCUUGCAUCAAAAUAAAAUCAUUACAUUAAAAAUUGCAUUAUCUACCGCUCUCCAAAGAAAAUAAAUAAAUAAAAGAACAACAUACCGGUAAGGGCAAAGUCAAAGUCUACGAAAACUUGGACUACCAACGGUCCAUGAUGAACCAGCUUUGCUCAGGAAGGAAUCACAUCAAUGAUUCAUUCAUUUGGUGCUUUGUCCCUCACAUAUAGGCAUUCAUAAACGAGGAGAUUCUAUCAAAAAGAAGGGAAAAAAAUGUCAUUAGAUCACUUUGUCAAAUCCAACACCGAUUCAUCGUUCUCCCAUUCACCCGCAAAAUUUACAUGGCAAUAAAUCGAUUUCUAAUUUUCACAUUCAUUGAUAAUUUCAUUACAUGAUUUCCUCCUAUUCUAUAAUCUCAUAUGAGAUUUGAAAAUCAAAUAAAAACAACCUCUAAGGAUGUAUUUAUGUUGCUGAGAAUUUUUUUUGUGACGGGAAAAUGCUUUUAGCAAAUUCAGUUUUAGAGAAAGGGAACCAGAAAAUUUUGAUUAUGGUGAAAACAAGUUGAAAAAAAACUGAUUUUAUUGUUAUUGGUAAUAAGUGAAUCCACUAAAUGUAGCUUGUAUCAUUAAAAGUAACAUGGAAUGACUAAUAAACUAGAAUCGAUAUCUUCUUCAUUUAUUCUAUAAUCCAUCGAAAUAACAUUGAUUACAAAGAAAAUAAGAUAGAAAUUAUGAAAUCAUAUUUGUAAAAUAUUAGAUAUAAUCAUGCUUUGGGAAUGUAGAAACAUUGAGCAUCAAUAAAGUAUAUUCUUCUCACUUCAAAGCUUAGCAAGAAAACAAGGGUAAUGAUUCCUUCUUGCCAAGUCAUUUUUCUCUAAGCUUAUUGUUAUUAGGGUUAAUACUACAAAAAAUCUCAAACUAGUAUAUCUGUGAUAAAUUUAUCAAAAAUUAAUUUUUUGAUCACCAAAAACUCCAAAUUGGCAAAUUUGUGAUAAAUUUAUCAUUCAUUAGUUUCCAUUAACUUGAAUAUAUACUAAGAAAAAACACAAACCAGUGCACAUGUGAUAAAUAGAGAAUAAAAUCCCAAACCGAUAGAAUGAUCAAUUGUGAAAAUUUGAUGUAUGUUUUUGUUGAGUUGACUUUAAAUGAAUCCACCAUUUAUUUGGGAGGCAAAAGUCGAUUCUAAUCCCAAAAUUUUUGCAUCAUAUGGUCCAAUGAUUUUCCGCGUUAAGAAAUGUACAUAAUUGUCAACUUCGAUGGGCUGGAGCGAUGCUUCAAAGAGUCAUUCUUAUUGACCAAAUUUUGCAGCAAAUUGGCCCAUGACUCUCUCUGCAUAUUCAGCCAAUCCUGUGGCUUCUAUGUACAAUAACCUCCCCAAAAGUCAUUCAAAAAGAUCUUUCCUUUUUAUUUCAUUGAUAUUUCUCUGGUGAAGGAACAAAGAUCUUUGAUAGCUAAGGCCCGCAUCUCAUAUGAAAAGUCUCUCUUUUCCUUUAAAAAGAGAGGAGUUAAGGCAAUGGGAUCCUACCUAUUUUCUCUUCUUCCUGGAGCUUCUAAGCUGUAUCGGAGGAUGCUUAAUUUCAAUUUGAAUGCAAAGAAUUUUUUUUUUAAAAAAAAAUCUGCAACGAUACCUUUAAAGUUUCGUUUUACUAAAACAAAAGUUUAGUGGGGUUUAAUUAAAGUUAAAGCUAUCGGAGAACAAAUUUGAUCUAUGUUGGUCUCGAAUGGAUGAAUUUGAUAUUUCCCAAGAGUCUUUUUUGACUCAUUGAGUCAAUCGUGAUUAAUUGCUUCAAUUUUAACAUUUCCUUUUGUCAGAUUUGAAUGGACGUAUGAAAAGAUUUAAGGGCUUAUGAAUUUUGGAACCAAACAGUUUACACCUUUGGAUCUUGCAGGAUUUUAUUUUUGCUCCUUGGCUGCCCCGCCAUGUGUUUCCUCCAUGUCGUCCUUAUCAAAUACAAAUUAGUUCAUUUAGUCCACAUCGUACCCAUCGAAAUCUGAAGGUCUCGGUGGUGUUGGAGCAUUUGCAUCAAUCAUGCACUCCCCGGCAACUUUGAGGAGGUCAGCUUGUCAAUCACGUGGAAUGACCAUGGCCAUGGGCAUGGGUUAGGGUUUUGGAGGCGUGUGAGCAAAGAGCAGUGACAACGAGGGGAAAAUCAAGGAUUUGGAGCAAAGGAAGAAACGUGCGAAAAGGUCAAGGAAUGAUGGGGAAGGAGUUGUCGUGGGGUUUAAACGAAGUUUACCUAGAAGAGAAACUAAAUAAAAGGAAAGAUAAAAUUCUAAACCUGGCCAUGUUGAAUACUCUCGUCUCUUCAUCCAAAUAAAGAGAGACCCAUCAUAUGCUUUCUUCUCCCGAAAAAGAGUAAGACCAGAUGUGAAAUGCUAAAAUCAAGGUGGACAAAUGUGAGUCUCAAGCGCGAAGCGAAAAAGGAUAAAAAGCAAAGCAAUAAUUAUUCCGUCCCACUUUUCCUUUGAAGUUUAAAGUGUAGCCCGUUUCUUUUGCAAGAAAGACCGCGAGGUGAAUUAUCUCACUUCUCGGACCCUAAAAGUUGCUAAGUUCAGUUUUCUUUCGAAAGCUUAAACUUUGACUCUAAAAUUGCAAAGUUCAGAUUUUUAAGUUCAUCGCUGUCCAAGCAAGACACCAAUUCAUCUCAUAACAUAUUUUGAUGGGACAUAUUUUCGGUUACCAUAUAAGUUUGGGAUUUUGAUGAUAAAAGUACAAUUUGGAUAAUUGGUAAUAUGGUAAAUAUAAAGGUUAGGAUUUUUUAUGGAAUCACGCACUCAAUGUCGUCGAAUUUGCUGCCCACCCAUUGCCAUCACUAGCCCUCAACUUCAUGCAUCAAUCCACCGGCGAGUUAAUGCCUCGCCUGCUCUAGUGUGUCCUCUACACCUUCAUCUCUUUUUCUUUCCACGCAGAUCUCAUAACCUAUGUCCAUGGAACUCACGACUGGCAGAGGUCGCUAAUCUCACAUGGCCACAAAUAUGUGGUUGAAUGGCCAUGGCGUCAGGGCUUGACUUGGUUAAAUCGCUUGAUUUUUUUAGGAACGGAGAGAGGCCCUCGUCUCCAUUGAUCAUUAAAAUCAAUACCCAAAAAGAAAAGGAUAAAUAUAUUCCUCGCCAAGAGGGCAUUUGGGUAUUUUAGCAGCAGCAAAAAGACCAAACGCAAUUGAUAGGGGAGAGAGGCGAAGAGCAGGCAGAAAAGGAUAGGUGGCCGUGAUUCUGGUGGAUGGAAAGUAGAGCUAUCAACCGUCGGUGGUCACAUGACUCACAUGAGGGGACUGAUGAUAUCGGGUGUAGUGAAGCGGGAGCCAAUUAAUAGGAAGAAGAUGCUAAAUCAAUCCGGGGUCAUUCGAUGGAUGAGAUGGACUCUAUGGAGAAUUCACACAAUCCAUCCGUGCAUGAGUCGUGUUCACAUGCCUCGGUGCGUGAGCGGCCAAGAUUUGCUUGAAGAAGAGGAAGUGAAGAGAGGUGUAAUCCAGUCCACAUGCCGCAUUUGAUAGGGCAACCCCGAAAUGAUGGAUUUUCAGCCUGCACGUCCCCAUUGAAAUUGCCAUAUUUUCCAAAACUUCUGUUGCAUUUUUCAGGUUUGGAGAGCACGUAAAACGGAAGGAAGUGUUUUCCCCAAAACAGCCUCGAUACUUUUUCCCCGACUCGGACAUGCCCCUGUCCCAAAAGUGACACUACAAUUAUGUACAAGCAAAGCUGUGAGUGAGACCUGUGCCCUGUCAUUCCUAUAAAUUUGUGGGCAAUGUCGUGGGCAUUUUAUCGCGACAUGGUGUUGUUGGGUAAUUUAAAGGAAGAAGGAAGAUGCAAUGGACAUCGUGCGGUUCCCUUUCAGGGUGAAAGCAAACUCUACAACGACUAUAUUAUUAAAAUACGAACUGGCCCCCGACUCUCAACAUGGUUAGCCAAUCUUGUCUUCUACGUUUAAUGACCCACGGAGAUCUCCAUUUGUAAUUGUGGCUUCUAAAAGUGAUUUUGAUUUCGCAAUAUGCUGUACUGAUUUUGCUGUUAUACAGUUCAAUUUUUUUUCCUCUAAGAGAAGAUCGAGAGAGAUCAAUGGAGAGGAGGCAAUGCUUCAUGCAUUCACCAUGGGACCGUCAUCCAGGCCGUGAAAAGCUUAUGAUAUUGUAUGGACCAACUCUUUAUGAAUAACUUUGAUUGUCUAAGGAAUGGUUGAUACAAGUUGAUUUUGGCUAUUUUGGUUUCUAUCAAUUCUAUAUCGUAAAACAUUAAUUGCGAAGUGGCUAUUUUCUAUCGUGAAAUAAGAAAUAUUUAGUAGCCUCGGAAUUAAUUUUGAAACUUGAAAAUUACUUGCAUAAGAAAUACCAUAUGUUUAGAAAAACUUUGAUCUUUAAAUAGUCUAGCCAAUCAUGUCAUCAAUCAAUGAAAAAGUUGAUAAUGUCUAAUUUAAUUGAAUGAAAAGAACAAAAGUGUUGUAUACAUAUAGUUUUGCCUUGCAUCGAAAUACUAUCAUUAGAUUUAAAAUCGCAUUAGCUACCACUUUGAGAGGAGAGAAGACAGAACAACGAACGGGGUGGUGCGAAGACUGAAACAUCACGGGAUUCGAAGGGCAAAGUCAAAGUCAACAAAGAGUUGGACUACGAACAGUCCAUGAUUAACCAGCUUGCUUAAGAAGGAAUCACACCAAUGAUUCAUUUAUUUAGUACUUUUUGCCUCUCGGUUAGACUUCCAUAAUGUAGAGAUUUUAUUAAAAAAAUAUGUCACCAAGAUCACUCUGUAAGAUCCAACACUGAUUCAUGGUUCUCUCAUUCACCCCCCAAAAAUCACAUGAUAACAAAUCGAUGUUCAAUUCCCCUAUCCAUUGAUGAUUCUAUCUUACAAUUUCCUUCCAUUGAAUAAUAUCAUAUGAAAACAAACUUUUAGGUUGUGCUUAUCUCGGUGAGAAUUUUUUUUUUUUUGAAGUAGGAAAAUGUUCUAGGAAAUUCAAUCUAAAAAAAAAAGUAAACCAAAAAAAAAAUUUGAUUGUGCUGAAAACAAGUUGAAGAAAUUGAUUUUAUCAUAAAUUAUAAUAAGUGAAUUCAUUAAAUGUGGCUUGUAUAGUUAAAAGUAACAUGUAAUGACAAAUAAACUGGAUAUGACAUCAUCGUCGUUUAUUCUAUAAUCCAUCAAAAUAACAACGAUUACAAAGAAAUUAGGAUAGAUAUCCGGGAAAAUAAUUCUUCUUUCUAAGUCAUUUUUCUCUAAGCUUAUUUAUUACUUUUAGCCCAUGGUAAACAUUUUUAUGGAUCGAAUAGCUUUACGUGAUUCAAACAUUGGAAAUUACAGAAACAAAUUUCCAAAUAUGAUUUUUUUUUCCAUCAAACUAAGAAGGAAGAUCUUGAGGGGCAAUUCCUUUUCUUUUUUUUUUUUUUUUUUUUUUUCAUUUUUUGAGAAAAGUACUACCCUCCGGAACAAAGUUGUAUGAGUGUCUACACGACAACGUUGUUGAUGAAUCCAAACCAAAAAAAGAAGACGUUGAUAAAUGUCAAAUUUGUACGCCGAUAGACCAUAUAAUUGAUGCCAAUAAAGAAAUCCAAAGUGAACAAUCAUAUCCCUUCAUAUUCUUUCUUGUCCCGAAAAGGAGAAGAACAAAAGUGAAAUGCCGAAAAGAAGGUUGACAACAUAAGUUCUCAAGCGCAUAGAGAAAAAGGAAAAAGCAAAACAAGAAUAUAUUCCAUCCCACUUUUGGUAAAGUUAAUAUUCCAUUUUCACGAAUGAUAAUUAUUAUUUAUAUUACUGGAAGUAAUUAAUUAAUGAAGACUGAAACAUCACUGGAUUAGAAGGGCAAAGUCAAAGUCUACAAAGACUUGGACUACCAACCGUCCAUGAUGAACCAACUUUGCUCCGAGAAGUAUUCACACCCAUAAAUGAGCCAAGUCUCCGAAGACUUGGACGACCAAAGGCAAUGCUAUUGGCGGGUCUUCUUUUCCACGUUAGGAUUGAACCAUCUUCUUUUUCUUUUCUUUUAUCGCUUUUUUCUUUUCAUUAUCACUUUGCUUUUUUGACGAGAUUUUCCUUGGAUUCUCGCCGUGAAUGAUGGCUGUGGUUCCGGUGGGUCGAUUACCUUGAUAGUUGAUUGGUAAGCGGCCACCAUUUGAUCAAUAAUUCCUUCUUUUUUUUUUUUUUUGCACAGCAGCACUACUCUUUGAGGAUACAGAUGAGUUGGGGCUUCUAUAAGUGGGCAAGAGCCUCAACCCCGAACACAAAAGGCACCGCUACUGCUCGCACCACUCCGUCCACCAACCUUCCGGCGGAUUCACGACAGACACAAGUGAUCGAGCCUCCAGUAGCUCCAGGUUCGUAGGUACCGUCUAUGUUUAUCUUUAGUGUUUCAGCCUGCGGUGGGUUCCAAAAUCGUGACGAUCCGUCGCCGGUCUUACUAGAUUCGCUCGAUUUUGGGUUCCAUCUGUUGAAACUCUUCAACCUAGCUAAAGCGGCUCAAGCUCAUCUUCUGCAACGUCUGCUGAGAUUCCUUCUCAAGUCCUCUCUCUCUCUCUCUCUCUCUCUCUCUCUUUCGGUGGGCGUUGCGAGUUCUUGCUUUUUGUGUACACGAGUCUCGCUGUUUGUGGGUUCGCGGGUGAGAUCGAGUUUCGUGCUUGAGAUGGGUCGGAUUCUGCCGGCGUCGGGAGAGAUGGGUCGUCGGCGUUUAGGCGUUUGGUUUCCGUUUUUUCCGGUUGUUGCUCUGGUUUUAGCUGGUUCCGUGCAAUCUGAGCUCUUUGAGCUCGAGAGGUCGUGCCCCCUCCUCCGUCUUCCUGUGCUCUCGCCCCCCGCGAGAAUUUUGCUUGAGCUGUGGUUUGAGAUCUUGGUUAGGCUUGAGUGAGAAAAGUAGGGAGAGCUGUCGAAACAGAAAGAAAGAAAAUAGAGGAACCCCGAUGCGGGAUGACACGAGUGCGAUUAAAUUUGAGUCGAACGCUACUUAGUGCAUUGCGACGUUGUUUUCUGGAAUUCGAGCUAACUUUAGUUUGGAACUGAUGAUUGACGCGGCGACGGUGACAGGAUAUGACUUGCGGCCCAUUCGGAGGCUUUGAGAAGUUUGCAGAUUGUGGGAAGAUUAGCAGGAACUAAUGAUUAUUUUAGAAAUUAUACAACCGCCUCCAAAAUAUGAGAGCUUUACCUCGUGCAUUGUCAACUUUGACAAGCUGGAGUGAUGCUGCAGUGAAUCAUUCUUAUUAAAUAAUUGUAGCACACUGGCCCACGACUCUAUGCAUAUUUAGCUAAUUCAGGCUACCAAGUUUAUUGACCUAUAGAGAUUUCCAUUUGUGAGUCAGGCUUCUAAACAUUUUCCAUCUCUGGCUGCCAUUGCUUUUGUUGAUAUGCUGUUUGGUAUUUCUUGAAGAUCAUGUAGAUGGAAAUCAUGCGGAAAAACAACGUACCUGUAAAAAUUGAUGGAAUAGCAGGGAGCGCUUCUUUUACUCACACUGCGACAGAAGGUCAAGGAAUGGCUAAUUCAUCAGGAUAUGAAUAUGAAGUAUUCUUGAGCUUCAGAGGAGAAGAUACUCGAACAGGUUUUACCGACUUCCUUUACACUAGUAUGAUAGAUGCGGGAAUCCGCGUCUAUAAGGAUGACGAAGAGCUCCGCAAGGGGGAAAAUUUUGGCCCGGAACUUCUCCGAGCAAUUAAUCAAUCGAAGAUCUCAAUACCUAUAUUUUCGAAAGGUUAUGCCUCUAGCGGAUGGUGUCUCAAGGAGCUAGUCCAGAUGGUCGAGUGCCAAAAAACUAGGGGACAAAAGAUUAUGCCCAUUUUUUAUGAUGUAGCACCUUCAGAGGUUCGACGCCAAAUUAAAGGUUAUGGAGAGGCCUUUCUUACACAUGAAAACAAGAAGCGAUAUGACAAAGAGACUAUGUGUAAGUGGAAGGCUGCUCUCACCACAGUUGGAGAACUAGAUGGAUGGGACUUGCAAAAAAUGGCCAACAGGUAAUUGCCUCUAUCAUUCCAUUUGAUGUGCCUUGUCCCAUUAAAACUUGAUAUGUUUCACUGUUGAAAUUGGAUUUUAUGCUAUUGAAACUUUACCGCAUAAAUCACUCGAAAUAAUGGGACAAUCCCCAUUUUGUCCUUUUUCAUUGCAAACAAUUUUUAUUUUAUUUUAUCUUAUUUUCAGUUAAGGUCAUUCGUUAAUCAUAUGUGCCAAUGCUAAUUCAUUUACAAUGAAGUAAAUCCUUGUAGAAAGCAUUACGAAUAGGUCUUUAGUUUUCACUUUGGUCUUGUUAGAACAUAACUUGGUUCAACACAGUUUUCUAACUCAUUGCCAUUUGACCUCCAACAAACACUAGGAAAGAAGGUGAGAUGGCAAAAAUAAUUACCCAGAAGGUUUUCAAUGAAUUGAAAAAGGCUUAUUUGGUGGUAUCAAACAACUUGGUUGGUGUGGACAGUCAUGUGGAUAAAAUCAUGGAAGAGAUAGGUGCUCAUAUAAAUGAAACGUGGAUCGUAGAAAUUCAUGGGAUGGGUGGCGUUGGAAAGACAACAAUUGCCAAAAUCAUAUACAAUGAGCUUUCCAACAAGUACAACAAUUGUUGCUUCCUUUCCAACAUCCAUGAAACGUCAAAGCUCAGGGGCAUUGAGUACUUGCAGCAGCAGCUCAUCUUCGACAUCCUCAAGAUGAAAGGGACGGAUAUAAGAAACAUUGAUGAAGGGAUUAAGACCAUUAAAGAAAGGUUGCCUAAUAAAAAAGUCCUCCUUCUUCUUGAUGAUGUUGAAGAAAAGGAUCAUAUUGAUGCACUUGUCGGUAAGCGUGAUUGGUUUGGUGAAGGGAGCAAACUUAUUGUUACUACAAGAAGGAAAGAUGUUCUCUGUGUUUUGGAAGUGGACUGGAGGUAUGAGCUUACGUGCUUGGAUCCGAAUCUAUCUCUUCAACUUUUCAGCAGACAUGCCUUUAGAAGAGAUUCUCCUUUAGACGAGUAUAUCAACCAAUCCAAAAGGGCGAUACACAUUGCUGGAGGUCUUCCAUUAACCCUUGAAGUCAUAGGUUCACUUUUAUCCAGCAAAAAUAAAGAAAUGUGGGAUGCCACAUUGAACUUGUUAGAAAGUGUUCCUCAUGAUAAAGUUCAGAAUAAGCUGAAAAUAAGUUAUGAUGCAUUAGAUUAUCGGCAUAAGCAUAUAUUCCUUGAUAUAGCUUGUCAUUUCAUUGGAUAUCGCAAAGACAUUGUGGUUAUUUUCUGGGAUGCAUCUGGACUUUUUUCGGAAGCAACCUUGGAAGUUUUGCAGAACAUGUCUUUGAUAAAAAUUGAAAAAGAUAAUAAAUUGUGGAUGCAUGAUCAACUUAGAGACCUCGGAAGAGAAAUGGUUCGUCAAGAAAGUAAGAUGAAAAUUGUGAAGCAACGUUGGGUGUGGAAUCCCAAGGAAGGAUCGGAUCUGCUGAAGAGCCAUGAGGUAAAAUUCCCUAUAAAAAUAAAUCUCCAAGUUACUUAUGGACAUUUUCUUUUCAAAAGGAAGCAAUUAUUUUUUGUAUUCUCUAGCACCGUCGCGACCUAAUCUCUUUUAAGAUUAAAGGAAUAUAAGUACUCAACUCAACCCCUUAAAAUUUUUCCUUUGGACAGAUGAAGAAAAAAGUUGAAGCUCUUCAUUUCAAGGUUGACGAUCAGCACCAUUUUACCUAUGAGGACUUUAAGAACCUACCCAAUCUAACGUUCCUUAAAUUGGAGCAUCUUUGGCGCGAAAGGCCAUUAAAAUUUUUUUCAGCUAAUUUAUUCCAGAAAAAUUCAAAUCUCCUUCCAAAAUUACAAUGGCUUUCUUGGCAUAAUAUUCACCCAACAUUUGAGAUUACAAAUUUCUCCAUGGAUAAUUUGAUUAUCCUCGAUCUAUCUCAGAGUAAAAUUACUCAUGAUUGGAAGGGGUGGAGCCACAUGAAGGUAUGUUAUAUUCUAGACAACACUUAUUCUUUCGCCUUAUUAGAUUCAAAAGUAAACUUUGCAUGAUUUUUCUUUUACAGGUGAUUAAAAAUUUGAAAGUUCUAGAUCUGACCAAGUGCGAAUGCUUGAAGAUAACCCCCGACUUAUCUGCUCAUUCAAAAUUAGAAUGUUUGAUCCUAUUGGGUUGUUCUUCGUUAAUCGAAAUUGAUAGAUCAAUUUGUCAGUUGAAAUGCUUGGUUUUCUUAGAUGUAAGUGAUUGUCAGAGUCUUCAGAGGCUGCCAAAUGAGCUGGGAGAUCUUGCAAGCCUCAAAUACCUAUCUCUAAAUGGAUCCUUGUGUUUGAAGAGGCUUCCGGAGACAAUCGGGAAUUUGAAAUCGCUGAUUGAGUUGAACAUGAGUGGCGUGAGAAUCAAAGAACUACCCGAUUCCAUCAAAAAGUUGAAGAAUUUGAAAAUAGUGAAUAUGAAAUAUGUUGAGAUAAGCAAAAUACAUGAUAACUUUUGGACAAUAGAGAAGCUUGAAAUAACAGAACUCAUCUACUAUAAUUAUGAUGACAAGCACGUGGCAAUUGGUGAUUGCAUCUAUGAGAAUAAAUCCUUGACGAUCUUGAGAUUGUCAACGGCGGCGACAAUACACGCCCCACCAAGGCUCCCUGAAAGUCUUUUGGAAUUAGAACUGAAAUGGUUGAGGGAGGACACGUUUCCGGAUCUCUCAAAUCUCACUAACUUAAAGGUAUUGGAUCUGACCUUUGGCCCACCUAAUUGUGAUGGGAAAUCUGAUGGGCUUCUGGAAGAACCGAUACCACCGUGGAUUGGGAACUUAACCAAAUUGGAAUCUCUGAAAAUCUGCUUUCCCUGAUCGACUCAUUGACAGACCUCAGCCUCCCUCCUCAUCCGCGUCGCCUCCCGAGGCUUCCCUCAAAUUUAUCCUCCUUACUUCUCGAGGGUUGCGUCUCACUUUGCUCGAUGGAUCUAUCGAAUUUGAGGAAACUAUCGUCUCUCAACAUUUCGGGGUCUGCAGUUGCAGAGAUUGAAGGCCUUGGUUGUUUGGAGAACCUACGAGAUUUCCACCUUUGGUACGUCGGACAGCUGGUGAUGCUACCUGAUCUAAGCAAGUUAAACAAGCUAAGGAAUAUUGCAGUAUGGGGGUGCGGUAAUCUGGUUGAGAUUCAAGGCGAACUACCGCGGUUUUUGGAUUAUCUUUCAAUUGAUUACUGCGAUUCGUUACGGGAGUUCCCCGAUCUGUUCAGCUUACCCGAUCUGUUCAGCUUAAUGGGUAAGAAAGAUGUUUGUAUGCAUAUUUGCAUUCAGGUGUUUGAAUAUAAACGUAGACAUCGGUUGCUGGUUCGUGGCUUUAAACAGAUGCAGAUCCCUGAUCUAAGCAAUUGGAACAGACUAACAAUUCUUUCAGUAGUAUCUUGUCAUAAUCUGGUUGAGAUUCAAGGCAAACUACCCCAAUCUUUGGAAACAUUGUAUAUUAGCAGCUGUAAAUCUUUAAAGAAGUUGCCUGAGCUGUCAAGCUUGAAUAGACUGCGAGAGGUUACAAUAUUACGUUGUGGGAAAUUAGCAGUGGAGGAAAUUUCUCGGCUUUGCUCGGAGAAGUCAAUCAAAUUUGUGGGAGAAGAAGAUGAAGAAGACGAAUCUGUGGAAGAAGACGAUGAAGAAGACGAAUCUGAUGAAGAAGACGAUGAAGAAGAUGAAUAAGUGCACGUUGCACUUGGAAGCUUUUUGAUGCGCGACCACAAAUUGUUCCCUUGUGUUCAAACCUUAAACAAAUUGAGGUAAGUACCAAUGUUUUCCUUUUUUUGGCAAUCAAAUUCUUUCACAUAUAUGAACAGAGAAGUUUUGCAUGCACUUUUUAACGACCUUUUAGCGGAUUCUUGUCUGAAAAUCUGAUGAAGGUAUUUAAAUUAUGAUGCCUCCGAACAGCCAGAGGGCUCUUAAUUAUGUACGAGUAUUUGUGUUCUUUUCCUAGUUUGGUUUGGCUUUUUUAGCUACAUUUUCUUAGGAUGGUUUCUCCUAGAGGUAUGCAUGUCGAUUGCAUCAUUUUUAUUUGAUAUGUAACAAAUUAUUAGAGACCGUUGUUGAUUUGCUGCUUCACACAUAUUUUGAAAUUGAUAACCUCACUUCACAAGGGAGAUAAAUUCGCUAUGCCGUAAACAAAUAGAUGGAAUGUGUGUUGGAAGGUCAUACAAAUAUGGUUCUCAUUCUGGGACUUUACAGCACAAUCAACUCAUUGUUGCGACUUUGAAGUAGACAGACACUCUGUAUUGCCAUGCUUAAGUUCAGUUUAUUUUUCAGGAAACGUGUGCUUCUUAGUGCGAUUUGCAAAUGUUAUGGAGAAGUCAUAAAUGAGGGAGCCACCACAAUUCUGAGAUUACCAGUGUGGCAGCACUGGCUAAAGCAAUAGCACCAGAAUAUUUUAUCUCAGCAAUGAUGCCUUCAAUCAUAGCAAUCUUUGAUGGGCACACUGACAAAAAUCAUUCUGUGCAGCAAACGUCGCCUACAGGAGUAACUGAGAGAACGCAGCAUUCGCUGUACCAGUAGAGAAGGAGCGCCCUUUUGCUGAGACUUGAGAAUUGCACUCACUUACAAAAGAUUGGUAAGAAAAAGAGAGCACCUUCCCUUGGGGCUGCCUUCAGUAAUAGAACUGUGCAUUCUGAAGCAAUAUUGGCAUUGUUUCUGUCAUGAGAUCCACUCAAUUCCAGGAAAACACUGGCACUGCCACCAAAGUCGGUUAUGCGUCAUAUGCUACUCGCCACCUCAGAAGAACUUUCAUCAAGUAGUGGUGGCUCUUCCAUGUACACAAAACCUUUCAUAGAACCUAGCGAUCAUAAAAGAAGAGCUUUACACGAGCCAAGCGUCAAUUUGAGAAAUUCUUCCAUAUUCUUCGCAUGUACAAAAUCCAAAAGGAUUCCAAUCUGCCAUACUACUUUCAGUUGAGAAAGCAACUUGGGAUCCAUUUCUGGAGCCAAUGCCAGAGCCACGCGCAGCUCAACAUCAUUCACAUUUGCACAGGACAGAUCAUCAAGUGAAAAUCUGAAGCAGUGGCUGACUGUCUAUGGUUGUAGAAUCUCAAAAUUUUUAGUCAAGUUGAACUCUAUGAGCAUCAGGAGGAGCUUCUGCACACACAUUGGUAUCGGGGUCCUCAUCCUCAUUCAAGGUCAGUCAAAGAGGGAGAAAUUGCAUCUAGGAUAUGGAUUUCAAGCCUGGCAGCUUAUGCUCUAACUCUGGAGUUUUGAUUAGGAAAACGAACAUUGCAUCAAACGGAAUCUUGAGGGACAGAAAUCUGGCAUCACCAUCCUUGUUGGCCUUAUACAGAACAUCCAGACUCAGCAGAAUCCCACAGAUGAAUACGUCAGAGCUUUCAGGAAUCCAGUAUGACUCCUCUGUGAUGGACUCAACGCUUGCAUUUUGAGCCGGCAAUGCAGGUUCUAGGAACGGAUCAACGUUGUGCUCUGCUUUCCUUGUUCAAUCCUGAACUUCUCUUGGAUUGUGUUUGUAAUUAGUGUGCUGAAUUAUGCUUCGUGUGAAUGUGAACCAUCUAAGUUUUGCCUGUCCAGUGUUUGGUGAUCAUGUGCAAUUUGGUGUUUGAUGAAAUGAGCUAUGUGCUUGAGAUUGCGUGUGCUGGAUUGUCACCUUCGAAGCACUUGAAGCUAAAGCUGAAGCUGAAGCGCAAGGUCUAUUGCAAUGGCUUCCUCUCUCUCCGCACCCCCACAGGCAAGGUACCUUCGCUUUCACUACUAAUCUCUACCACUGAUGUCCAGCUCAACCCGAUCAGCAAUUUAGUUGCCUUUGAUUGGGCUAGGACAUGAUUCAGUUUGAUUGGCUAAUCUAUGUCAAAAUGGCAGUGGCUGUUAAAUUAUUACUGUUUUCUCCCAAAUUUAGCUUGCUCGAUCGAACUGAACAGCGGCAGCUUGAUGCUGCUUACGAUUUCAUUUUUUCUAUCAUCACGGAUUGUUCUAUUUUGUGCUUCUGGUUGUAAUACUCGCCGUGAUUGAGCUUGUUUUGAGUAGAUUAGUCCAUGCUGUGAUUGAUGGUUGGAUAAUGCCGUAUCAUGGCAGCGAGCAGCUGUUGGAAUGCAGGAUUUUGAAGAAUGAUGAAGUUAUUUGUUCCGGUGAGUCACUGAUUUCAAUGCUUAUUUGGUUGAUGUUGGAGAGCCUGGAGGAGGACAAAAGCCUCUAGAUGAUACUUAUAUUCACAGCCUGAUUAUUAUUUGGCAAUUGGAUUUAUAAGUUCCCUCUGCCGAGGGUAUUCCUUGCUUGUUUUCUUCAUAGUUGUUUUGUUGGUUCAAAUCAUCAGUAGGUGCAAUGUGAUGAAUGUGAAGUUCUUGGGUUUGGUUUGUUAAAAGUCCAAAUGGGUAUAUUUUACUUAUUGUUUGUCUUGGAAAAAAGAGCGUUGCUUGCAUACAAAUACGCGUAGACCCUACUUUGUGAUGCUUUGCUUGUUGCUUGUGUGGGAAAUUAAAUAUUUGUUCUUUUCCUUGCUUCAAACAGCUACUUGGGUAUGGUUCAUGUAUUGAUUGAUUUAGAAUCUAGAUGUAAACAUUUGCAAUUGAUCUACUGUUGCUUUUGUUCAAUGCAACUGAUCUUUUGAAACUCCAUUUUUUUCGUUAAAGUUUUUCCUUUUGUUAACCUUACUUUCAAUUGAUGCAGAGCUUUGGUUGAGUUUUUGGAUAUGAGGUUCAGUAUAAUCCCCUCUAUGAAUUACGAGGUGUGUUUUCCUUUUAGCUACUUAAAUCCUUUGGCAUGGAAUCUACAGUUGUAUUGCCUACAUAACUUUUCAUUUUCUGCAGAUGCUCCUAAUUCCUCAGAAACCGAAAAAGAAACACUGGUUAUUUUAGAAGAAACUGGUCGCUUAUGAUGUUGCAACCUGCCGGAAAUGGGAACCAAAUUGAUACCGUCCCUAUACCCUACAUAUAUAGAUUCUACAUCCCAAAUAGCACAGCUUGCUUUACAAUGCCUCCAAAUGACUCCUAACGAGCAGCCUUCGAGAUCUAAAGUCGUGGAAGAACUGGAAUCAGUAGACACUGGCAUCGCUAAUAGAAUAGAAGGGGAUAGUUAAAUUCACUUAUUAUGUCAUUCUUACUUUAUGUGAUGUAAGUCAAAGUCUGUUGUUCCACACUUUUCCAUUUUCCCGGGAACAAUCCCGGGCUUUGAAUGUUCAUUUCUAUUGUACCCAGCAGUUACUAGGAGUUGUCUUCUCUUGUAAGUUCUUUGGAAUAUCCAUGACAUGUAUAUUAAUAAAUGCACCGCUUUGUGAAUUGAGAUGUGAUUGUACUUAUGUUUAUGAGAGGAACAGUUCUUUAAGGCUAAUCCUCGAUCUUGUUGGCAAUCUGAGGUCCACAGAAGAAGUCCGUUGCUCUUCAAGAGCCCGAGCUCUUUAAUUUUCUUACAUGCUUGGGCUUUGAACAUGCGCAAAAGGUCAUUUUGGUUGCCAUUACGAAUGUGUUUAUGUGGUGCUUGCUCUGCAAUCAAUCUCCAGGAAGUGCUAGGCGGUUCAGUCCAUUCUCAUGGUAUUUUUGAGCUAUGAGACAUGGUUGGGGAAAUUGAUGGGAGUCAUUUAAGGCAAAGUGCUGCUCAGUUGUCCAUUCAGAAAGAGCAAGAUAUGACUUUUGGUGCUGUCAUGUUGCAGCUAAGACAUGUCUGAUUGUUUUGUGCUAAUAAGAGACAUUUCUUAUCAUAUGCCAGUUUUAGAUAAAACUUUUCAUGUGACAUCAUAAAAGACUAAAUUUUAUUUUGGGUUAAUACCCUGAAAAACCCCAAACUGGUACACAUGUGACAAAUUUAUCCAAAACUAUUUUUUUGAUCAUAAAAAACCCCAAAUUGGUACAUCCGUGACAAAUUUACCCCGACUAACUAUAAAAAAAAAAAACCCUAAACUGGUAUAUUUAUGACAAAUUUACCCCAAACUAAUUUAUUCGGCCGCAAAAAACUCAAAAAUGAUAAAUUUGUGACAAAUAUACCCUCGCUAAAUUGGAUUAAUACUACAAAAAAAAUCACAAAAAUUGUAAACUGUGAUAAAUGGAGCAUAAAAUCUUAAAUUGGUAUACCAGUUAAUUGUCACGUGUCAUUUAACUUAAUAAUUUAACAUUAAAAUUUAACGAAAACUAAUAGAGGGUAAAUUUGUCACAAGUGUACCAGUUUGGGGUAAAUUUGUCAAAGGUAUACCUGUUUUGGGUUUUUGGUGGUCAAAAAAAUAGUUUGGGGUAAAUUUGUCACAAGUGUACCAGUUUGAGGUUUUUCAGGGUAUUAAUCCUUUUAUUUUUAUAUUCUCAAAUUUAGAUAAGACUUUCCAUAUGACAUCAUAAAUUACUAAAUUUUAUUUUUAUAUUCUCAGUAACUUAGCCCAUUGGUUAUUGUACUUUCUUCACUAUUUGUAAAUCUAAGGGCCCUAUUAUUUUCGACACUUCUUAUGUAAUUUUUUUUUUUGAACUUGUUGAUAUGUCUCUUUUACAUCACUCUCAACGCGAAAAUAUAAAAGUUGCCAUCAUUUUGUUUUUUUUUUAAAUUUUAAACAAAUUAAAAAAAUAAAUUGAUUACACUAAAGAACUUUCCAAAUAUAUGUUUAUCAAAUAGUAAUUUCCCAAUGUUACUUCUCAAGUCAUUUUAAAUUGCAAAUUACUAAACAGUCUUUGCAUUUCACAGAACUCCUUUAGGCUAAGGGCCUUUACAUUAGCCAAAGGCGUUCCCCAAAAGUCAAAGCAAACACACCCAUAAAUGGGUACUUGAAAUUGAGCUUUAUGCAGACCUUUUUGCUUGAUUGUUGUUGCCCUGCUAUGUGACCUGCUGUUUUGUGUAAAUCAGCGAUAUAGUCGUCAUCAUCAUGGCUGAAGCGCUCUUGGAGAUCCGGCCUCAUGAAGUCAAGUUUAUCUGUGAGUGUAUAUAGUGCUGUGCGUUUGGUUCAUUUUUAUUUUGGAGCUACAUUCAAUUUGUGUUGCUUGCCUCCUGUUUUACUAGGCAAUAAGUGAAGGGGAUGAUAUUUCUUUGUUCUACAAUAAUUUGCUUGAGAAUUUGUGGUUCAACAUCAUAAAUAAUGGUAAAAGAAAUAUCUUAAAUAAGAGCUUCAAUGGCGAGUAUGAAUUGGUUAUUGGUCGCCCUGCUUUUCAAAUUCUUUUCCUAGUGUUGAAUUCUAAUUUUUGGUUAGGUUCUUUCUUUUUGCAUAGUUUCUAUUCUCGCACCACAAACUCUUAGAAUACCUUGUGAGGUGAAUUUCUUUCUGGAGAUAAAGUAAGUAAGUGAGUGUUGUAACCAAAUGACUGAGAAUGAUCGGUACAGAAAACCAACACGGAAAAUGAGAUUUCGUUGCUGCAUUAUGUCUUCAAAGAAAAUGUAUGAUGGUCCAUUUCAUCACAUCCUACUCUCAUGUUGUGCCCCGUUAAGUUCUUUUAUCUGAAGCCUCUUCUCCAUGUUUAUGCAGUUGAGCUGAGUAAACAAAGCUCAUGCUUGAUUCCGCAACAAGACUGAUCGGUAUGUUGCUUUCAAGGUGAGGAUUUUUUGCACCUUUUCAUUCACCAUGAUCGUGCUUUACUUUUUUUAAGGUGCGGUGGGCUAACAAUUUUCUUUCAAUCCUGUAUUCUCCUGAUGUAAUUUAAAUUUCAGAGUAGGACAUCAAUGCAUUAAAAGCUCUCUACUAUGGAGAAACAUUAUGAGCUUUAUACUGGAUAUCCAAAACAUUCCAGGUUAAGUCUACAUCUUUGAAGAAAUACUGUGUGCGGCCAAAUGUAGGCAUCAUCAACCCAAAUGGAGCAUCUGAUUCAAAAUUGUGCUGCUCAAGUCUGAGGAUCAUCAUGUUCACAUACUUAUUAAAGCCACUAACAUACUUGUGAGGAGGGACAUGCCUGCAGUACCUAAAUCAGCUAAAUAAUUAUUCUGCAAUUUUUUUGCCGUGACAUGUCAAUUGGACUGUAUUAUUGUUGGGUUACGAACUGCUUAAGGUAGAGUCAGUCUAAUUGUAGCAAGGAUCAUUUUUUAAUAAGAUUUUGAAUGCCUACCAUAGUAGCCUAAUAUACAUCGAGAUAAAUUAGUUUUUUGUGGGGAGAAUUACCCAAAAAGUCUUAAACCUAUUGUAAAUGUGUCAAUUCAGUCCUAAAUCUUUUUUCUGUCCAAUUUAGUUCUAAACCUUUUAUAAUUGCUUCCGUUGCUAAGGGUAUUGCUGCCCUAUCUAUCCCGUCUAACAUCGCUGCAGUUAUCGGUACUUGGGAUGAUCCACUCCCCACCCUUAACAACCAUGAUGACCGUCUGGUGUGGAUUGGCCACUCUUCAGGUCAGUUUUCUACUGCUUCUGCAUGGAGUAUGCUUCGAGCUAGAGGCUCCUUGGUUAAUUGGUCUCGAUUUAUUUGGAGUUCCACUCUUCCCCCACGCUAUCAGACCCAUCUAUGGCUCAUCACCCGGAAUAGAUUGCCAACCCAGGUCUUGCUUCUGUCGUAUGGGAGGAUCUCGGAUGGUUCCUGUGCCUUCUACUCAAGUAGGCCAGACUCAAUCGACCACUUAUACUUUGGUUGCUCAGUCACGGGUAGGAUGGUUUCGUUUUGGGCUCUAAAUUGUCACUUGAAUUGGCGAAAUGGUCCUUGGAAGGACAAUCUUCAGUGGGUGGUCAGCCACCUCUCGGACUCGUCUUUCCAUCACUCCAUUUCUCGCUUUGCAUUCGCUGCUAUGUGCUACCUUAUAUGGAAGGAGCGAAAUAAUAUAAUCUUUCGGAAUCAUACAUUAUUCCUGCCCGCCCUCAAAGAAAAUCUUCGGAAAGCUGUCAAAGAUAGAGUCUCCACUUUUUCAAGAAUCCCGGACAAUCCGUGUAAUCGAAGGAUCCAAAUGGCCUAGGGAAUCCAUCCUGCAAUCUUUGAAUAACUCUGUUAUUAAUCUCUGGCCCGUUACAUCAUUAUGCUCCUCUUUCGGUUGCCUUGGUGCCUCGGCUGCUUUUGGGUUCCCCCCCCCCCCCCCCCCCCCUGUUUAUCGUCUUGGCAGGUUGUGGCUCCCGGGCUCUUGGCUCUUGCCUGUUCCUUUCUCUUGGUCGUAUGUUUGGCCUUUUGUUGCUGGUGCUUCUUUUCUGCUUUGCAGCCCAUCCGCCUCCCGUCCACUCAGUUUGACGCUUGUGUCAGCUUGAGUGUAUGCUUGGAGGCGGUUGGUUGUUGUGCCUUUGUGUAACUCUUUGGUUCUAUAGCUAUAAUAUUCUUACCUCUUACCAAAAAAAAAAAAAACCUUUUAUAAUUGUGUCAAUUCAGUCCAUCCAGCCAAAAUUGACCGGCCUGCAUUGACGUGGAUGCCGGCGGGGGACAGCCGGCCAGCGAGGCCCCACCAGAUCUGGUGAGGUCAACCUCGCCGGCCAUUGGCGAGGGCGAGGCCUUGCUAGAUCCAGCAAGCUCGGCCCUUGCCAAGGCUGGGCGAGGCUGAGCCUCGCCAAAUCUAGCAGGGCCUCGCCUAGCCAUGGUGAGGGUCGACCUCACCAAUGGUCGGCGAGGCUGCCGUCACAGUGGAAAGAGCUUGGAGCUGCCCGUACGAGACAUUCUCCAAGCAAAUGCCGCCGCCUUGCACCUGAUCCCUGCCCUCCCCGACCGAAUUCACCCUCUCGAGGGCCACAAUGCCGAGCACCGAGGAGUGAGGGCAGUUCACGGCGCUCUUGAUGAUGGGAGGGAAGUUGCGGAUAAGGCAGCCUUGUCGCGGCUAUUGGCGAGGUCGACCCUCGCCUUGGCUGGGCGAGGCCCGGCCGGAUCUGGCGAGGGUCGAGCUCGUCGGAUCUAGUGGGGCCUCGCCCUCGUAGGCCCUCGCCUCCUACCGGCGGAGGUAAGCCUCAUUGGCCCUCGCCUCCUAUCAGCGGGGGUGAGCCUCAUUGGCCCUCGCCUCCUAUCAGCGGGGGUGAGCCUCACUGGCCCUCGCCUCUAGCUGGCGUCGUCCGACCAGAGGAAAGGGAAGAUGGGAAAAAAUAAAAAAAAAAUAAAAGAAUUUUAAAAUUUUAAAAUUCAAAAAAGAUAUAUAUAUAUAUAUAUAUAUAUAUAUAUAUAUAUAUAUAUAUAAAUUGCCUCACCGGUCGGCUGUCCUCCACCGACGUCCACGUCAGCGCCGACCGGCCAACUUUGGCCCGAUGGACUAAAUUGGACCAAAAACAGGUUUAGGACUAAAUUAAUAUAAUUGUAAUAGGUUUAAGACUUUUUUGGCAAUUCUCCCAUUUUUUGUGUUAGAAAACUCUCGAAAUAAUUUUUUUUUUUUAUACCUAGGAACCGUACAGACGGCAGGUAAAUCCUGGGGCGACGCUAGUAAAGGACCCAUCACCCCGACAUUCGCGCUUAAGAUCCUAUGCGUCUUGCGGGAUUCAAACUCCUGUGUCCUGGAUAGACGUCAUGGGAGCUCUUAUCUAGUUAGGCCACCGCAGUGGUUCAAAAUAGUAUAUUUGUAUUAUAUUUACCUCCAAAUUAAUUUUCGUGUGACUAGCCAAACGUAACUCAUGAGAUUAUCUCUUCGGCCCCGUCCCCGAACCAUGGGAAGAAAAAUACAGGAAUUUUGGAGAAAAAGAAUUACAGACUCCGAGAAGUUAUCAAAUGCGCCGUCGUUGUGGUGGUAGUCGGAGAUUAUCUCUUCGGAUAGGGCUGCCGGCGGGAGGAGAAGAGGCCGACGGGCGGCGGUGUGAGGCGGCGGAGCUCGGAGGCCUUCUCGAAGAGGCCCUUUGCGCCUCUUCGAGUACGCCCCGAUUCCCUCGGCCGAAGAGAUAAGCUCCGACUACUUCCGCGGCGGCGGCGGCGGCGGCGGCGGCGACGGCGACGUGGUGCCGCCGAUGGGUGUGACUGGAUUGAGGCUGAGUGGGAUUCUUGCGCAACGAAGGAGGACGUGGAGUCCCGGAUCGGCGAAGUAUGACGCCGUUCGUGAUUUCGUACGCAAAGAAAUUGGAAAGAUAUGGGAAGAAUUCGUCUUGCGAUGAUCGGUGCUGGUGGCGAUUCCGGAGCUGGGUUCGGUUGUAAUUGUGAAAUUUUGGCCGAUAGAGAGAUGGGUUCCGUUGUUGUGAGCUUUACAGUUUCUUGACUUUGCCGGAGAACUCGGCCAUCGGCGGUGGAAGCUCGGGAGAGGAGUCUGACGCUCUGUGAUCUUGAGGGCUAUGGAUAUGAUCCUGACCACUUUCUUACACUUGAAGAUUUGGAUGUUAUUCUGUGAUGUAAACUUGAAAUGCAUGUGAUUUUUCUUGUUAAACUUGAUGGUACAGAAUACAUGGGGUGGGUUGUGUUCAAAUUCGUCCCCUUUUGGAUGAGAAAAGCAUCAUUUAGUCAGUUGCUUCGUUGGUGAAGUUGGGGAUAGGAGGGAGAUUCAUGAUUUGUUGCUAGCUUGUGAAAGAGACGAGCUUUGAUUUAGACUGUCUUAUUAUGGCAAUGAAUUGACUGUCUCGGAUGAUGAAUGGCAAUGCCAGUGAAUGCAAAGCUUUCCACUGUCUGUGGAGUAUUAUUGCUUAUGAGAUCGGAUAGUUUAUGCGACUAAUCAUCUGUUCAUUGAUGAUUUCUUGUGGGAGAAACUUAGAAAAUGGUUUUGGAGAUAGUGGUUCAGAAGAGAGACGAGGAGCUUGUCAGUACUCUAAGGGGCUUCGAUGUGGAUGUCAGCAUGGUCCUUGAGGAUGUUACUGAGUAGUAUGUAUCUCUCUCUCUCUCCCCCUCUCAAAUUUACUUGUGCUUCAAGACGCUUCUUGCAUUACUUUGGGGUGAAGGGAAGCCAUUCCAUGUUCUUGACGUCAAUUUAUUAUCUGAAGGGGCAAAUGACCUUGAUUUGUAUGUAUUAGCAUUGGAAGUUAUCAUACCCGUGGUUUUUGAGGCCUCUCUGUCCUCAUUUUGAUCUAUGCUUCUAACUGAGAAUCGGUACUCGCACAAGCAUCUGCAAUUUGGCCUUGCUCAACAUCCAACGCCCCCCUUUUUUCCUGUCACUCCUCUUCUUAUUGACCUUCUUAAUAUAAACUGUGGGAGCUUCAUGCGAUCUUAAGAUUCUGUUUUCAUUCUUGCAUACAGUGAAAUCACUGCUGAAGCAUGAAGGGUAACAAAACUUGAUCAGAUUUUGCUUAACGGAAACAACAUAGCUAUUGUAAGAAACAACUUCUUCCUUCUGCUGGUAAUUAUAUGGCUCUAUGUUUUGAGCCCUUGCUUUGAUAAGGGCAUGGUCUUGCCUAAAGUUUUGGUAAUCUAUCAACUAGUAAGCAAUUGCCUUAACCAAACAGAAACAAUCCGCCGCUCAGCUGCUCAGAGAGAUUCCUUCUGAUAAGACUCAAAAUGCUUAGACAAUGUAUUGAUGAAUCAUUACUGGUCUUGAUUUUGUGGUAAAAAGGUCAUCAUCACCUAUUCUUCACAAUCUGGUCCUUUGUCUCAAUCAACCUUGUGUCCACCUCUUGAUAAAUAUAAAGCACAAGUGGUGUGGCAAUUAAGUUACUGAAAAGCUAGAAUUCUGCUUUCAAGUGCUUGAAGCACUUAAGUGAUGAUGCCUUCCUUUUUGUCUUAAUGCAGUUAGUCCCUGGUGUCUCCCCUGAUCCGGAAUGAGUUGGGUUCAUCCUCUAACUCCAGUGGCUGAUUAUGUAGUUACUUUUAGUUGUUGGAAGCCCCAUCAGCAACAUCAUUUGAUUUUAUAACCUCUUUUUAUGGGUUUAUGAAUCUGCACCUUAGUCAAUUGAGCUCUUAUUUGAUUGAGCCCAUGCGUGAAUGUCUGAUGCAAAUAGCUCAACAGAUGGUGCAUGAUCACAUCAUCCUAUUAUCCAAUAUCUAUGUUUUGCUCUACUAGAGGGUGUGACAAUGGUUGUCAUGCUUGGUGCAAAUUGUUCCUAGGUUUCAUCUUCCAGUGCAUUGUUAUUGAAGAACCUGUCUUGGCUUGUUUUAGAGUUCUACAGUUUUUGGCCGUUGACUGCACAAUGAUAUCUGUAUUUGCGCGCCGCAACCAUGCUAUCUUCUUGGUGGCCUGCUAUUUGACUACCCUCUCUGUUUUAUAGUACAUUCUCAACCUAAAUGCAGAAGGGUGUGUUCCCAAUAUCCACUUUGGAAAAGAUCAAAGAAUUCCACUUAUGUGCUUGUUGCUCUUUGCUUGAAAAAAUUCUACUUUAUUAUGCAGUAUGGUUCUGGUACCGAGACAUCAGGCCGAAGAUGUGCACUGUACUGCAUACAGCUAGAUGAAUAAUGGACGUAUUUUGCUCCAAGAGAUUUCAAUAUUCCACCCAAGUAGCUGUAGUUGCUGCACAUUGUGAAAAGAUCCACGCCCAAAGCGAACUCACUUGUUUUGACCAUGACUGGUUUUUUGUCGUUCAUGUUUUCAAGGCGGUUGGCUAUUUGGGUGGAGUGUUUUUUCCUGUUUUUGCGGUAGUGACAUUCAUCAGAGUUUUCUAGAGGAUUUCAGACUGCUGAAAGAGUGAGCUCAGAGCUCGUGAGGUGUGAUAUUGCUUGCAGACUUUGGUUAGAGCGACAAGAUCUAUAUAGGCUGGAAAUAAAGGUGCUGAAGAUUCACCAUAGGCCUCUUCUUUAUCGCUUGUUUUCAUGUAUAUUCACAACUGCAAACGAGCUUGACUUGAGGCAUGUAAAAUGAAGGGUAUAUGCUGAGAACUUUGUCUAGGCAUAGGUGCAUUUUUCUUAUUUGAAGCUUUAUUGGCCAUCGAAGCUCAUCAUCAUGAACAAGUUUGCAGUUUCAUUCCGAUUUUGAUUAGUUCAAACACAUGGUACGAGGUUCUUAUAAAAAUGCUAUGUGUCAGAAUUCCCGAAGUUGGAUCCAAAGUUAAAUAUAUAACAUGAUGUUUUUGUUCUGAGAUACUAAUAAUAAAAGACAGCUUGUUUUGAGUAUGUUGAUAUUUUCCUGUGACUGGUACGGUUCUUUUUCAUUCUUUCACCCAUUUCACCGUAACACAUGGUGCUACAACAAUUGUACCCUUAAAAAACAACGUAGGUUGGGUUGGGAAAGCAGUUAUAUUUCAGUAAUUGGAAGAUUAAUGUGUGACUAGUCAAACAGGGGAUUGUGAUUUUCCCUAGAUAUGAUGGAUACUCCUGAGGUGGUCAUAUAGUUAAUUUCAUUGUGGAGACCAAAUGGAAGAGGAAUUGAAUAUGCAAGGGAUGAGUGGGAGAAGAAUUAACCAAUUCAAUCAGGAGUGACUUCAGGCUAUAUGAUGUUUCCUUGAUUAGUUUCUUAUUCACAGAGUUAGUCUACACAAAAAGGCAGUUUGAUUUGUCUUCAAGCUAUUAUUCUAGUUGCAAUUUGAUUUAGCAAAUAAAAUGCAUACAUUGCAAUCAAUCCUACAUAAUUUAUUAUGACACAUCCUCCUGAAUCAAUGCCUCUGCUUGCUAAUUUGCAUUGCCAUUCUCCUAAAAAUCAUGAUAGGUCUGCUAGGGAAGGAGAUCAUCGCUUCUCACAAAUUUUUCAGUCCUUUAAUUCUUCUUGGAAUUGCAUUCCUUAUGAAAUGGAAAUCCUAGAUUCAAUGUUAAGACAAAGUUUCAUCCAAAAUUGGAUCGUGAUGUUCCAAAUGAAUCACGUUAGGUUAGUGAUGCUUGCUGAACAAUGUGUAAAAAUCACAAUGAUUAAAAAUGAAAAUUACUAGAUUUCAAUCUGGAGUAGUGAUUGAGAAAUCAAACUCUAACUCUCAACCUCUAUUCUGACCUUCUCAAUUAAAGUAUGGCUAGUAUGAAUGUCGAGACCUGAUUUUGUCGUUUUACUUCUCUUUUGGACAAAUUUAGAGAAUCACUUUAUGAUUAUGCAUUUAAAAGUGGUGUUGCGAGUAAGGUAUCGCAUUCACUUUAAAUUAAUUUUUUGUGUUGCAAAACUCCCAAAACAAUAUAUCCGUAUUACCUAUAUAUCCUCAAAUUAAUUUUGGUUUAACUAGCCUAACGGGAUUCACGAGAUUCUCUUCGGCUGUCCCCGAACCACGGGAAGAAAAAGACUGGAUUUUGGAGAAAGAGAAGAGGUUUUUAGAGCGAGACACACUUGCCAACCUACUUCAGACCCAAAAAAGAAAAAGCACACUUGCCGAUCUAAGUAAGUUAAAAGAGGACCAAAAUAUUAGGAAAUUCCGAAAAGUUUUCAGAUGCGCCGGCGCCGUGGAGGUAGUCGGAGAUUAUCUCUUCGGAUAGGGCCCGUCGGCGGCCGACAAGACGCCGACGGGACGACGGUGUGAGGUGGCGGAUUUCGGCGGCCUUCUUGAAGAGGCGCAAAGGACCUCUUCGGGUAGGCCACGAUUCCCUCGGCCGAAGAGAUAAUCUCUGACUACUUCCGCGGCCGCGGCGACGGCGACGGCGACGGCGACGUGGUGCCGCCGAUGGGUGUGACUGGAUUGAGGCUGAGUGGAAUUCUUGGGCGACGGAGGAGGACGUGGAGUCCCGGAUCGGCGAAGUAUGACGCCAUUCGUGAUUUUGUACGCAAAGAAAUUGGAAAGAUCUGGGAAGAAUUCGUCUGCGAUGAUCGGUGCUGGUGGCGAUUCCGGAGCUGGGUUCGGUUGUAAUUCUGAAAUUUUGGCCGAUCAAGAGAUGGGUUCCGUUUUUUAGAGCUUCAAAGCUCGUUGCCAGGCUCUCUUCGUGGACUUGAGUUGGAGAUGGCGACGGCUUCUUGACUUUGCCGGAUAACUCGGCCAUUGGCGGUGGAAGCUCGGGAGAGGAGUCGACGCUCUGCGAUGAGGGCUACGCAUAUAAUCCCGACCACUUUCUUACACUCGAAGAUUUGGAUGUUCUUCUGUGAGGUAGAUGUGAAAUGCAUGUGAUUGUUCUUAUUAAACUGCACCGUACAGAAUACAUGGGGUGGGUCGUGUUCAAAUGCGUCUCUUUUCGUAUGAGAAAAGCAUCAUUUAGUCAGUUGUUUCGUGGGUGAAGUUGGAGAUAGAGGGGAUUCAUGAUUUCAGUGGUAUUUCUCUUUUGCUAGAUUGUGAGAGAGACUAGCUUUGAUUUAGACUGUCUUAGUAUGGGGAUGAGUUGACUGUCGGGGGAGAUGAAUGGUGGUGCCAGUGAAUGUGAAGCUUUCCACCGUCUGUGGUGUACUAUUGCUCUUUAGAUCGGAUAGUUUAUGCAACUAAUUAUCUGUUCAUUGAUGACUUCUGUGGGGGAAACUCAGGAAAUAGUUUUAGAGAUUUGGUUUUUAAACUGAACUUACAACUGUGAUGUACGUCUUGAGGGAACAUCGGGCAGUUUGUUCUGUGUGUGCUUCAUAGCUUUCGGGCAGUAGGAAAAAGGUAAAAUUUCUGAAGGAACACAAUUAAAAGCAGUGAUUUGGAAGUCCUGUUAUAUGCAGUUCCUUUCUUAUCCUUCUCAAUGGACUUUGGUAUAGACAAAUAAUUGGGAGAAUAUUGUUUGCUUGCUUGCCUUUAUCAUAAUUAUCUUUACUCCUGUAAGCAUCUUAAUGACGAAGAUCAUCAUAUAUUUUACCAUGCCAUUGGUUGCUCAUUACGCUAUUAAGGGGUCUGUCUUUCAAGGGAUCAACCCAGUUCCAUCAUCGAAGGCAUUGUAUUGGAAGCCCAAUUGUGGUGCUUGUAUCUUGCGGAUGUAUUGGAGUCAGAGAAGCGGGCUUGGGAGAAUCUGCUAGAAACUCAGGCUAUCAGAGAAGCUGUAAAUCCUUGGAGAAAUCAUGAUGCGGAAGCAAAAAAGAAUUCAUUGUGCCACCAUUGUUGAGUUUGUACCUGGUAUGAUUUCUUCUCGAACGCUCUCAUUCAACAAGGAGAGAACUUUCUUUAAGCCAUGUUCUUGAUGGAGAAGUAUGAUAACAUUCAGAACAAAUAGGUCUAGGUGGUGGAGCUAUUUUGCUCAACUCCUUUUAGUUAAUGUGCAAUCCAUUUAUUUUAUGAGACAUUUUGGCAAUAGGUCUUAAUGCCUCUGGCUAUUAGACUUGUGCAUUAUAAUUGAUGGGAUGAUCGCACAUUAGUUUAUUGGAUCCUGAGAAUCGUGAUCAUAUUUCCAUGCGGAUUACUGCUCAAACAGGUUCGCUUCCAUACAAACUUCUUGUGUUGACAUUUGAUCUUCAGUUAGUAUAUUCAAUGUUCAUAAUUGAUAAUGCGUCAUGUAUCUGGUCAUCUUGUUGGUUUGACAAUAUAUCAGAUUUUGGCUUGAUUGAGAUUAUGUCUUCAUGUAGGUUUUAAAGUACCACCUAAAAUUAGAAAAAAAGAAAAGGAAAAAAAGAGAGACUAAAGUCCACUGAUCAAGAAAGUGAAAAGGAAAGAAACAGAGAGAGCCAAUGCCAUUAAACCAGUGAACUGGAAAAAGAGAUAUUGAAUUCUGUACAAUGCAGUUUAACAAAAAAAAAAAAAAAAACCACUUAUGUUCACAUUUGCAUCACAGAAUGACAUCCAGAUCUUCCAGUGUAAGAAAGUGGUCGGAAUUAUAUUGAUAGCCCUCGAGGUUGCUGUGCAUCGGCUCCUCUUCCGAGCUUCCUACAUGGAUGGCUGAGUUUUCCCGCAAAGUCAAGAAGCUGUCACGGUUACCGUCACCGAAAGAUUCCUCCAAGAGACUACGAAUCUCAGCAGGAUCAAAUCCACACCCCUCAAGGUCACAGUGCAUCGGCUCCUCUCCCAAGGAUCCUCAGCCGAUGCCUGGGUUCUUCGGAAAAGUGAAGAAACUGUCAAGGUCACCAUCGCCGAUGCAGUCCUUAAACGGACUAAGAAAUUCGUCAGGAUUAAAUCCACACCCCUCAAGGUCACAAAGCAUCGGCUCCUCUCCCAAGCUUCCACCCCCCAUGGCCGAGUUCUCCGGUAUAGUCGAGAAACUGUUGUGGUGGCCGUCACCGACGCAGUCCCCGGACACACUAAGGAAGUUGUCCGGAUUACAUCCGCACCCCUCAAGAUGGGAGCAGGUGGGGGUGGAGUCCACUCGCAAACCUCCACUGCCGGCGGCCGACUUCUCCGGCGAAGUCACGAAAGGGUCGCCGUCGCCCAGAUUUUCAGAAUCACAACCGAACCCGUCUCCAGAAUCGCCACCAGAACCUUUCAGAAUCACAACCGAACCCGUCUCCAGAAUCGCCACCAGAACCGAUCACGACGGACGAACCCUUCUCCAGAUCUUCCAACUUCUCGCCCACAAGAUCACGAACGGCAUCGUACUUCGCGAUCAGGGACUCCACGUCCUCCUCCGUCGCGCAAGAAUCCCAUUCCUUCUCAAUCCACUCCGCCCACUCGGUCAAACCCAUCGGCGGCACCGCGUCGACGUGGUUGGCAAUUACGUUGUCUUCCACGGAGGGGUCGCUGAAGAACGAACAGGGCUUGCCGGCGGGGGAGAAGACGAUGACAGCGGCACGAGCGCCGCAGAGGCAGCAGAGCUCGGAGGCCUUCUUGAAGAGGCCCUUGCGCCUCUUCGAGUAAGUCACGAGCCGCGCGGCCGGGUCGGCGAUCUUGGCGAUCUCCGUUCGCCGGCGCUUACCCAUUUCCGAUGGAUUUCGCGAGAUUUCUUCGACGAUUUGCAGGAUUCUUGGGUUUCCAGGAGAGAGCUUUCGUGGGUUUUUCUGGGUUUCUUGUAGAGAGAGAGAGAGAGAGAGAGAGAGAGAGAUGAAGUUUGAAGUUGCAGAGGAGGCGGGCGGGGGAAAGGAGCCGAACGGGAAGAUCUACUUAUAUAGCCAUCGUGGGGCCCUUUUGAGAACUUUCUGAAUUCUGAUUUUCGGUCCUCUAAAUUUCUGUAGAUUUUCAAAUUGGCCUCGAGAACAGUUUACUUGUGUCGAUUAAGUACUCUUAAGUUUUCAUAAUUUGUGUAAUUGGUGGUUUGUCCAGUGGAUUGCUUUUACCAUUAACACGGUGUGAUAAAUAAUUGAAUUAGAUAAGUGAAGAUGUCGCUUUAGAUUAUAAAUUUUAAUUUUUAAAAUAGAUAAGUAAAGACGUCGCUUUAAGUUAUGAAAUUUAAUUUAACAUGAGAUGAGGAAAAAAAAAACAUUUUUGUCUGUUUGAUAACAUUUAUUCUAUGAUUUUUUAUUUUUUUUUACUCUCUUCAAAUACGUGGAAAUAGCUUGCAACUAGUCAAAGCCAUGAACAUUUCAGAACAGUUGAGUUGAGAGACUCGACCACUUGUAUGCAAGUAUAAGGACAAAAUAAGGGCAUUCUCAAAUAUCCAAAUCGUACAUUACUUUAGAGAGGCCAACCUUAUUGCGGACUGGAUAGCCAAAGCUCAUAAAAAAAAUUACUUAUCUCUAAAUUGAGUUUUGUCCCCUCCUCGAACUAUGUUGGAGCUUUUAUGUAAUGAUGCCCAUUUAACGGGGCUCUCAUCUUUGCUUAGUAAAUGAAAUAUUUCUAUUUCCAACCAAAAAAAAAAAAAAACUUGGAAACAGAAAAAUCUUUGGAUAAAACAUAUGAAGAAGCUAUAUUGCUGCAAGAUUUGAUUAAAGGAAUAAUUUUUUUUAAGAUAAAGGACACUUUAAUUGAAAAUAUCAUGCCCGAUUAAAAUAUUUGCUCAAAUGUAUAAACUAUAACAAUGGGUAAUACUAUAUUUUUCCUCGUCAUGGAUCACGGUGCUAUAUUAGACAUCAUCAUGUAGUAAACAAAAUGGACAAAGCCACCUAAAUCUCUAAAUAACAUGCAAAAUUAAAUUCAUAUUUAAAACAUAAAAAGAAAUAACGGUCUCAUCUAAUUAUAAUUAAAAAGAAUUACACUAUACACUCCCAUUACAAUCCAAAAAUAGUUUAAGUGCUAUAUUUUCCCCUAACAAGUUAUAAAUUGUGGACAUCACUCACAAGCAAAGUAAACAGAAUAUUAAUGUAGGUUAUGUCUAUGGUUGUAACCCAUCAAUCAACUUACAUAUUUCACUAGCAUUUAACUUUUUGCACAAGGAUGGUAGUAAGACCAAUUAUAAAAUCUGGAUUCAAUUCUAUGUUUUAGACCUAGUAGGAUUUUGGCACAAAUAUGGAUAGUGUAAAUUUUAGAUAUAUCCAUGAACUCAAUAAAUCUCAAUUGCUAGAUUUUCGAACCUCACAUGAAAUCCGUGAUAUCAAGGCGAUCGCAAACUCCACUUGACACACUCUCUUGCGAUCAAGCUUUUGAUUUUCACAAAGAAGGGCAAUAGACGUUUACACGUUAAAGUUCUAAAAUAGAUUUUUUUUUUUGUCUAUUUUACUAUAUUUUUACUUUAACAUUCAGUCUUAAAUUUUUAUCCUAUAUUUUUGCAAGGUUUGAGAGUCGAAAUCCACACUUAAAAUCAAAUCGUCCCCACCCUCAAUCGCCUCUAAGAAAGUAAGAAUUCAAACCCCCAUCUUCCUAUGGUUCUAAGACAAAUGUUUUUUUUUUCUUUUUUUGGUCAGAAUUCUAAGAUAAAUGUUUGACCGGGUGAGUUUUUGGCAAAAUUUCGGUCCAUCAACGAAGACGAUGGGCUUGCAGGAGAAAAACAGGCACAAUUACCGUACAGGUUCAAUCCGCAGCACGACCCAAUAUAAAAACCUCAUAAAUUUUCGGAACGCGAUGGACUUUCGAACCCGAACCGACAUCCACGUCAGGUCACAGUGCCUAAGGGACGCGUACACGUGGCGCGUUUGGCAAGGAUUAGCUUCGUUGCAGGAGAGCAGGGGUGAAACACGAACGAACACCCUUUAUUUUUUUCUUCGGCGGUGUUGAUGCGACAUGAUGAGAUGAGAUGAGAAUAGAAUGAGGGGUGGCCUUUUAUCAUCAUCCGUGACGACCAAGACCUUUGAUCAUGCAAGCGGCUCAAGCUCAUCCUCUGCCUACAUCGCCUGCUGAGAUUCCUUCUCAGGUCCUCUUUCUCUCUCCCUCUCUCUCCCUCUCUCCUCCUGCUGCUGCUACUGCUUUACUCGUUGGAUUGAUCAUGCAAGCGGCUCAAGCUCAUCCUCCGCCUUCUGCAACGUCUGUUGAGAUUCCUUCUCAGGUCCUCUCUCUCUCUCUCUCUCUCUCUCUCUUUCGGUGGGCGUUGCGAGUUCUUGCUUUUUGUGUACGCAAGUCUCGUUGUUUGUGGGUUCGCGGGUGAGAUCGAGUUUCGUGCUUGAGAUGGGUCGGAUUCUGCCGGCGUCGGAAGAGACGGGUCGUCGGCGUUUAGGCGUUUGGUUUCCGUUUUCCGGUUGUUGCUCUGGUGUUAGCUGGUUCCGUGCAAUCUGAGCUCUUUGAGCUCGAGAGGUCGUGCCCCCUCCUCCGUCUUCCGCUUCCGGUGCUCUCGCCCCCCGGGAGAAUUUUGCUUAAGCUGUGGUUUGAGAUCUUGGUUAGGCUUGAGUGAGAAAAGUAGGGAGAGCUGUCGAAAAAGAAAGAAAGAAAAUAGAGGAACCCCGAUGCGGGAUGACACGAGUGCGAUUAAAUUUGAGUCGAACGCGACUUAGUGCAUUGCGACGUGCUUUCUGGAAUUCGAGCUACUUUAGUUUGGAACUGAUGAUUGACGCGGCGACGGUGACAGGAUAUGACUUGCGGCCCAUUCGGAGGCUUUGAGAAGUUUGCAGAUUGUGGGAAGAUUAGCAGGAACUAUGAUUAUUUUAGAAAUUAUACAACCGCCUCCAAAAGAUGAGAGCUUUACCUCGUGCAUUGUCAACUUUGACAAGCUGGAGCGAUGCUGCAAUGAAUCAUUCUUAUUACAUAAUUGUAGCACACUGGCUCACGACUCUAUGUAUAUUUAGCUAACUUAGGGUACCAAGUUUAAUGACCUAUAGAGAUUUCCAUUUGUGAGUCAGGCUUCUAAACAUUUUCCAUCUCUGGCUGCCAUUGCUUUUGCUGAUAUGCUGUUUGGUAUUUCUUGAAGAUCAUGUCCAAGGAAAUCGUGCAGAAAAACAAUGUACCUGUAAAAAUUGUUGGAAUAGUAGGGAGCACUUCUUUUACUCACACUAUGACAGAAGGUCAAGGAAUGGCUAUUUCAUCAGGAUAUGAAUAUGAAGUAUUCUUGAGCUUCAGAGGAGAAGAUACUCGAACAAGUUUUACCGAUUUCCUUUACACUAGUAUGAUAGAUGCGGGAAUCCGCGUCUAUAAGGAUGACGAAGAGCUCUGCAAGGGUGAAAACUUUGGCUCGGAACUUCUCCAGCAAUUAAUCAAUCGAAGAUCUCAAUACCUAUAUUUUCGAAAGGUUAUGCCUCUAGCGUAUGGUGUCUCAAGGAGCUAGUCCAGAUGGUCGAGUGCCAAAAAACUAGGGGACAAAAGAUUAUGCCCAUUUUUUUUAUGAUGUAGCACCUUCAGAGGUUCGACACCAAAUUAAAGGUUAUGGAGAGGCCUUUCUUACACAUGAAAACAAGAAGCGAUAUGACAAAGAGACUAUGCAUAAGUGGAAGGCUGCUCUCACCACGGUUGGAGAGCUAGAUGGAUGGGACUUGCAAAAAAUGGCCAACAGGUAAUUGCCUCUAUCAUUCCAUUUGAUGUGCCUUGUCCCAUUAAAACUUGAUGUGUUUCACUGUUGAAAUUGAAUUUUAUGCUAUUGAAACUUUACCGCAGAAAUCACUUGAAAUAAUGGGACAAUCCCCAUUUUGUCCUUUUUCAUUCCAAACAACCUUUUUUUUUCUUUUUUUUUUUAGUUAAGGUCAUUCGUGAAUCAUAUGUGCCAAUGCUAAUUCAUUUACAAUGAAGUAAAUCCUUGCAGAAAGCAUUUCAAAUGGGUCUCUAGUUUCACUUUGGUCUUGUUAGAAAAUAGCUUGGUUCAACACAAUUUUCUAACUCAUUGCCAUUUGACCUCCAACAAACACUAGGAAAGAAGGUGAGAUAGCAAAAACAGUUACUUGGAAGGUUUUCAAUGAAUUGAAAAAGGCUUAUUUGGUGGUAUCAAACAACUUGGUUGGUGUGGACAGUCAUGUGAAUAAAAUCAUGGAAGAGAUAGGUGCUCAUAUAAAUGAAACGCGAAUCAUAGGAAUUCAUGGGAUGGGUGGCGUUGGAAAGACAACAAUUGCCAAAAUCAUAUACAAUGAGCUUUCCAACAAGUACAACAAUUGUUGCUUCCUUUCCAACAUCCAUGAAACGUCAAAGCUCGGGGGCAUUGAGUACUUGCAGCAACAGCUCAUCUUUGACAUCCUCAAGAUGAAAGGGACGGAUAUAAGAAACAUUGAUGAAGGGAUUAAGACCAUUAAAGAAAGGUUGCCUAAUAAAAAAUUCCUCCUUCUUCUUGAUGAUGUUGAAGAAAAGGAUCAUAUGGAUGCACUUGUCGGUAAGCGUGAUUGGUUUGGCGAAGGGAGCAAACUUAUUGUUACUACAAGAAGGAAAGAUGUUCUCUGUGUUCCGGAAGUGGACUGGAGGUAUGAGCUUACGUGCUUGGAUCCGAAUCUAUCUCUUCAACUUUUUAGCAAACAUGCUUUUAGAAGAGAGUCUCCUGUAGACGACUAUAUCAACCAAUCUAGGAGGGCGAUACGCAUUACCGGAGGUCUUCCAUUAGCCAUUGAGGUCAUAGGUUCACUUUUAUCCGACAAAAAUAAGGAAAAGUGGGAUGGCACAUUGAAGAUGCUAGAAAGUGUUCCUCAUGAUAAAGUUCAGAGUAAGCUGAAAAUAAGGUAUGAUGCAUUAGAUGAUCGGCAGUGGCGUAUAUUCCUUGAUAUAGCUUGUCAUUUCAUUGGAUGUUGCAAAGACAUUGUGGUUUAUUUCUGGGAUGCAUCUAAACUUUUUCUGGAAGCAGUCGUGGAAGUUUUGCUGAACAUGUCUUUAAUAAAGAUUGGAGAAGAUAAGAUAUUGUGGAUGCAUGAUCAACUCAGAGACCUUGGAAGAGAAAUAGUUCGUCAAGAAAGUGAGAUGAAUAUAGAGAAGCAACGUUGGGUGUGGAAUCCUGAGGAUGGAUUAAAUCUGCUAAGGAUACAUGAGGUGAAAUGCUUUGUGCAAUACAUCUCCAAAUUAUUUAUAGACAUUUUCUUUUCCAAAAAAGUAGUUACUUUUUGUGUUCUCUAGCACCAUCGCGACCUACUCAACCGAUAGUUUUGGUCUUUUAAGAUUUUAAAGGAAUGAUAAUAGUCAACUCUACCCCUUAAAAUAGUGAACUUGAAGAAAUGUGUUUCCUUUCAACUUUUUUGUUUUAAAUUUUUUCCUUUGGGCAGGAAAAGAAAGAAGUUGAAGCUCUUCAUCUCAAGUUUGAUGAUUAGCACCAUUUUACCUAUAAGGACUUUAAGAGCCUACCAAAUCUAACGUUCCUUGAAGUAGACGACUUGAAGGAAAAUUUUCGUGGAGAAAAGUUGCUUCUUUAGCUCAAAUGGCCAUCAUAUGCUCUUCCAACUAAUAUUUUCCAGAGGAAUUCAGAUCUCCUUCCACGAUUACGAUGGCUUUCUUGGCAUAAUAUUAGCCCAACAUAUAAGAUUGCAAAUUUCUGCGUAGAGAAUUUGAUUAUCCUUGAUCUAUCUGGGAGUGAAAUCACUCAUGAUUGGAAGGGGUGGAGCCACAUGAAGGUAUGUUAUAUGCUAGACAACAUUUAUUCUUCCGUUUUAUUAGAUUCAAAAGUGAACUUUGCAUGAUUUUUCUUUCACAGGUGAUUAAGAAUUUGAAAGUUCUGAAUUUGGACUAUUGCCAAUGCUUGAAGAGAACCCCCAACUUCUCAACUCAUUCAAAUUUAGAACAUUUGAUCCUAUCAAAAUGUUACUCAUUAAUCAAAAUUGAUAGAUCAAUUUGUUAGUUGAAACGCUUGGUUUUCUUAGAUGUAAGCGAUUGUUGGAGUCUUCAGAGGCUGCCGAAUGAGCUGGGAGAUCUUGCAAGCCUCAAAUACCUAUCUCUAAGAAAUUGCUUGAGUUUGAAGAGGCUUCCGGAGACAAUCGGGAAUUUGGAAUUGCUGAUUGAGUUGAACAUAAGAACCACGAGAAUCAGAGAACCACCCGAUUCCAUCGGAAAGUUUAAGAAUUUGAAAAUAUUGAAUAUGCAAUAUUGUGACAUAAGCCUACCAAGGCUUCCUGAAAGUCUCAUAGAAUUAGAACUGAGGGAGUUGAGGGUGGACACGUUUUUGGAUCUCUCGUAUCUUGCUAACUUAAAGGUAUUGCAUCUAGGCUUUGGCCCACCUAAUUGUGAUGGGAAAUCUUAUGGGCUUCUGGAAGAAUCGAUACCACGGUGGAUUGUGAACUUAACCAAAUUGGAAUCUCUGAAAUUGCGCUUUUAUAAGAAGACCGCCUUAUCGACAGACCUCAGCGUCCCUCCUCAUCCGCGUCACCUCUCGAGGCUUCCCACAAAUUUAUCCUCCUUACUUCUCUUUGGUUGCGACUCACUUUACUCGAUGGAUAUAUCGAAUUUGAGGAAACUAUCGUCUCUCGAGAUUUUGUCCUGCCACUCUCUUUGCUCGAUGGAUCCAUCGAAUUUGAGGAAACUAUCGUCUCUCAGGAUUUGGUGGUCUCCAAUUGCAAAGAUUGAAGGCCUUGGUUGUUUGGAGAACCUACGAUAUUUGGAGCUUUACAACGUCGGACAGUUAGCGGUGCUACCUGAUCUAAGCAAGUUAAACAAGCUAAGGCAUAUUCGAGUAUGGGGAUGUGGUGAUCUGGUUGAGAUUCAAGGCGAACGACCGCGGUUUAUAGAUAAACUCAAAAAAAAUUUCUGUCCUUCAUUACAGGAGUUGCCCGAUCUGUUCAGCUUAAUGGGUAAGACAGAUCUUGAUGUGUUUAUUCGCAAUCGAACAUAUGAAUGUAAAGGUGGACAUGGGUUGUUGCUUCGUGGCUUUAAACAGAUGCAGAUCCCUAAUCUAAGCAAUUAGAACGGACUAACAAUUCUUUCAGUAGAAUCUUGUCAUAAUCUAGAUGAUAUUCAAGGCGAACUACCUCAAUCUUUGGAAUACUUGGAUAUUGAAUCCUGUGAAUCUUUACAGAAAUUGCCUGAUCUAUCAAGCUUGAAGGGAUUGCGAGAGGUUAGAAAAAGACGUUGUGGGAAAUUAGCGGUGGAGGAAAUUUCUCGGCUUUGCUCGGAGAAGUCAAUCAAAUUUGUGGGAGAAGACGAUGAAGAAGACAAAUCACCGGUUUGGGCAAGAAUACAAAGAUAUGAAAUACGACGACGGUCAUCUUCCACGGAGGGGUCGCUGAAGAAAGAACAGGGCUUGCUGGCGGGGGAGAAGACGAUGACGGUGGCGCGAGCGCUGCAGAGGCGGCAGAGGUCGGAGGCCUUCUUGAAGAGGCCUUUGAAGAGGCCCUUGCUCCUCUUCUAGUAAGUCACGAGCCGCGCGGCCGGGUCGGUGAUCUUGGUGAUCUCCAUUCGCCAGCGCUUACCCAUUACCGAUGGAUUUCGCGAAAAUUCUUCAACGACUUGCGGGAUUCUUGGGUUUCCGAAGAAGAGCUUUCGUGGGUUUUUCUGGGUUUCUUGUAUAUAGAGAGAGAGAGAGAGAGAGGAGGAGGAGGAGAGAGAUGAAGUUUGAAGUUGCAGAGGAGGUGGGUCGGGGAAAGGAGCCGAAUGGGAAGAUCUACUUAUAUAACUUUUUGAGAACUUUCUGAAUUCUGAUUUUCGGUCCUCUAAGUUUCUGUAGAUUUUCAAAUUGGCCCCGAGAAUAGUUUAUUUGUGUCGAUUAAGUACUCUUAAGUUUUCAUAAUUUGUGUAAUUGGUGAUUUGUCCAGUGGAUUGCUUUUACUAUUAACACGGUGUGAUAAUUAAUUGAAUUAGAUAAAUGAAGACGUCGCUUUAAAUUAUAAAUUUUAAUUUUAAAAUUACAUAAGUAAAGACGUCGCUUUAAAUUAUGAAAUUUAAUUUAACAUGAGAUAAGGGAAAAAAAAAGAAAAAAUAAAUAAAUCGAGAGGUUAAACGAGAGAAGCUCGUCGCCACGAGGUUCUCAUUGAAGGUUUAAAAAAAAAAUUCCAUUUGAUAACAUUUAUUCUAUGAUAUUUUUUUUUUCUUUUUACUCUCUUCAAAUACUUGAAAACAGAAAAAACUUUGUAUAAAAUAUAUGAAGAAGCUAUACUGUAAGUAAUUUCUUAAGUUGCAACAUUUGAUUAAAGGAAUAAUAUCUUUUUUUAAAGAUAAAGGACACCCUAAUUGAAAAUAUAAUACCCGAUUAGAAUAUAUGCUCAAAUUUAUAGACUAUAACAAUGCGUAAUACUAUAUUUUCCCUCCUCCCAUGGAUCAAUAUGCUAUGUUAGGCAUCAUCGUGCAGAAAACAAAGUAGAUAAAAGUAAAACCACUUAAAUCUCUAAAUCUCUAAAUAUUAGGUAAUAAUACCUUCAUCUGACUGGAAUAAAAAAGAAUUACUUUAUACACUUACAUUACAAUCCAACAAAAAUAAUUGACACUGAAUAGUUAUGUGUAUAGUUUAAGUGCUAAAUUUUCCUCUAACUAAAUUUAGUUAUAAAUUGUGGACAUGCAAAAUAAAUAAAAUAUAAAUAUAAGUGAUGUCCAUUAUCGCAACCUAUCAAUAAGAAUUGUGAUAGAGAAAACUUGGAAACUAUGGUCCAAGAAUAAUUCCUUUUUAGCAAAACAUUAUCAAAUAUUAUUGGGCAUGCAUAAUUCACUAGCAUUUAACUUUUUCUACAUAGUACAAGCACAAGGACGGUAGUAAGACCAAUUAUAAAAUCCGAACAAUUUUCUAAGUUUUAAACCUAGCAGGACUUUGGUGCAAAUAUGAAUAGUAUAAAUUUUAAAUAUAUCCUUGAACUUGACAAAUAUCAACCGUUGGAUUUUCAAACCUCACAUGGAAUCCGUGCGAUCAAGGCGACUGUAAACUCCACCUGACACGCUCUUGCGAUCAAGCUCUCAAUUUUUCACAAAGAAGGGCAAUUGACAUUUACACACAUGUCCUGUGUGUUAAAGUUGAUAGAUUUUUUUUUUUUUGUUAGUCAUACUCUACUCAUACUCUAAUAUUUAUGCUUAAACUUUUGCUCAACCUUUUUGCAAGGCAUGAGAAUCGAAAUUCAUAUUUGAAACUAAAUUGUCAUCAUUUAGAAAGCACCAACAUUUUUUGAGAGCAUUCAUGUUGUAUUGGACACUUCAACAUAUGUCUGAAACUCUCCGAUAAUCGGUCAACAAAUGUCGAAAAAUUUGAUAUUUGGUCAACUCUCCUAACACUCUCGUAUGCGAAUCAAGAAUUCCAACAAUGCACGAGUCAAUUUAAAAAAAUUUCAAUAAACAAUGGAUCAAAAUGUAAAUGUGUGAAAAAAUAACAAAGCUAAUAAAUAGGGAAAGAAGAAAAAUUUAGUUUUAUCUUUUUUUUUUACUCUCACUUCCCAUGACAUACAAUUCACCUCCAUUUUUUUUCUCCUCUUUCAAUAUGCUUAAACACGUGAAUCCAAAAUGUGGAUUGUUUGACUUUUUUCUUCAAAUUUUAUGAAUUAUUGGAAUGGAGUUGAAUUUACAAAAUUAAAAUAAUUGAUGAUAUUAACAAAUGGUAGAUUAAUAUUUUUAGUGUAAAUUCAUUCUAAGCUUUUUUUAUUAUUUAUUUAUUUAUUUAUGAAUUUGAAUCAAAUUAAUUUUAUUAAAAUAAUCAUAAAAUGAUAUAAAAAUAUAUAUUUAAUAUAUAACGUGUCCCAACGUAUUGAAAUUUUUUAUUUUUUUGAAAAAUGACGUAUUAGCAUGUCAUGUCAUAUUGCGUGCCGAUACUACUUAAAUAUCUAUCACAAUUUUCCUUAAAGAUGUGAGAAUUCGAAUCUCUCACCUCUCCCUUUUCUUUGUAGGAAGAGUGGCCAUUGAUGGUUUAGUUUUUUUUUUUUUUUUGUCGAAACAUUGGUGGUUACGUUGACUGGGUGAGUUUUUGGCAAUGUUUCAGUCCAUCAACGAAGACGAUGGAAUCGUAGGAUAAAAACAGACACGAUUACCGUGCAGGUUCAAUCCGUGGGAAGUGCAAUAAACUUUUACAAAUCACAGUGCGAAAAACUCCACAGAGUUCGCAGCACAACCCAAUAUAAAAACCUCACAAAUUUUCAGAAUGCGGUGGACUUUCCAACCCGAACCGACAUCCACGUCAGGUCACCAAGUCCAAGGGACGCGUGCACGUGGCGCGUUUGGGUUAGCUUCGAUGCAGGGGUAAAACACCCUUUAUUUUUUCUCCAUGGUGCUGAUGCGACAUGAUGAGAUGAGAUGAGAAUGAGGGGUAGGGUAGGGCGCUUUUGUGUGGGUUGCUGGGCUUGAGGAUAAGUAGCCGAGUGAAUUGUUUAUGUGACUGGUUGUCUGCUGAGUUCUAUGAGUCCUUGAGCGUAACUACAUGUUUUUUUUUGGCAAUCGUUGGUUUUGUUGGGGACAUUUACACCGGUUCCAUGGACCCACCCGCGAGCAGGGCCGGACCCAGUUCCCAUUUUGUGGAAACCGGCCCUCAGUGGGCGUUUCCGGGUUCUAGGGUGAGGACCGCCCACCCUGAAACCGAUCAUACCUGCCAGCAUUUCCAUCUUAAGUGACAAUAUCCAGCGUAAUUUUUCUUUCUUUGAUUUCUGCUGCUUUUUGCUGCUAUCCAUCGUCGAUUUCUGUGCAUGCUGUUGUGUCUGCCUGUGAAAGCUUUCGUCUUUUUGUUAUUUAGAAAGAUAUCUUUGUAUGCUGCAUUUUCUGGGCUAUCCGAGAAUUUCUGUACGUGGACUUAUAGAGGCGUGUCCUAUUGUGGCUUUCAUUUGGUUAUUUUCUAGUUGUAAAAAAUGGGUAGUGUGUAGGUCGAGUGGUGACUUGACCUUAUUCAAAAGCGGAGUCACGUUGAAUUCAAAAUUUCAAAGAGUAACUCACUCUUUUUUUAUCUGCUUUCAACAGCCGUUUCCCAAAGACAGAGAGGUCUCUCUCUAUUUUGAGUUGCAUUGCUUCUGAGCAGAAAAGUGUCCUCACUUUCCUUCAUGGCUAACAAUCCUUCACAGCUCCUCCCGUCAGGUCUGUCGGAUGUUUUAAUUCAUGUCUGUUUUGUUUUCCUUAAUUUUCUGAGAUUCGCAGAAAUAUUGGGAGGGCAUUUCCACUUAUGUUCAUCUUGCACUAAUGAAAUAUGCAGAGUUGAUUGACCGUUGUAUAGGUUCAAAAAUCUGGGUUAUAAUGAAGGGAGACAAGGAGCUUGUCGGUACUCUUAGGGGCUUCGAUGUGUACGUCAACAUGGUCCUCGAGGAUGUCACUGAGUAGUAUGUAUCUCUCUCUCUCUCUCUCAAAUUUACUUGUGCUUCAAGAUGCUUCUCGCAUUACUUCGGGUGAAGGGAAGCCAUUAUAUGUUCUUGACAUCGAUUUAUUAUCUGAACGGGCAAAUGACAAUUUGUAUGUAUUAGCAUCAGAAGUUAUCAAAUCCGUGGUUUAUGAGGCCUCUCUGUCCUCAACUUGAUCUAUGCUUCUAACUGAGAAUUGCUACUUGCACAAGCACACGCAAUAUGGCCUUGCCCAACAUCCAACCCACCCCACCCCCCACCCCCCUCCCCCUUUUUCUUUUUACUCACUCCACCUUUUAUAUAGGUUGUAGAUGUAAACUGUGGAAGCUUCAUGUGAUUGUAAGUUUCUGUUUUCAUUCUUGCAUACGGUGAAAUCACUUCUGAAGGACGAAGGAUAACAAAGGUCGAUCAGAUUUUGCUUAACGGAAACAACAUAGCUAUCGUAAGAAACAACUUCUUCCUUCUGCUGAUAUUGAUGUGGCUAUAUGUUUUGAGCCCUUGCAUCGAUAAGGAUGUGGUCUUGCCUAAAGUUUUGGUGAUCUACUAACUAGUAAGCAAUCGCCUUAACAUAACAGAAACAAUCAGCCACUCAGAGAGAUUCCUUCCAAUAUGUAGACUGAAAAUGCUUUGACGAUAUACUAAUGAAUUUUUACUGGUCUUGAUUUUGUGGUAAAAGAGUCAUCAUUCCCUAUUCUUUACAAGAAUCUGGUCCUUUGUCUCAAUCAACCUUGUGUCCACCUCUUGAUAAAUAUAAAGCGUCAGUUGUGUGGCAGUUAUGUUAUUGAAAAGCUAGAAUUCUGCUUUCAAGUGCCUGAACCACUCAAGUGAUGAUGCCUUCCUUUUUUUCUUAAUGCAGUUAGUUCCUGGUGGCUCCCCUGAUCUGGAAUGAGUUGGUUUCAUCCUCUAACCUCAGUGGUAGAUUAUGCAGUUACUUUAGUUGUUGGAAAUCCCAUCAGCAACAUCAUUUGAUUUUAUAACCCUCUUUUUUUGGGUUUAUGAAUCUGCAACCUUAGUUAAAUGAGCUCUAAUUAAAUCGAGCUCAUGUAUGAAUGUCUGAUGCAAAUAUCUCAACGGAUGGUGCAUGAU
rnacentral:lncRNA from 1 species